GCCCUUCUUCUUUUUGCGUUUUCGUAGAUGGAUGGUUAGAGACCCUCUUAGUCAGUAGUGCCUGCAUUUUGCUAGCUUGAAACAAUGACUCAAUGUGCCAUCUUGGUGACGAUCUUAAGACUCUAGAACUCAGAGCUGUAGUUAAGUAGGUUAUCUAUCACUGGCAGCUUUUGGCAAGUUGUGCUGUGCCCAUGCAACAACAUUUCUACUCUCACUGCAUCAUCCGGUUUGUGAGAGGACAGUGGAUGGUAAUGGAUUGAAAUUUGGUGGAUUUUCUGUUGAGAUGUGCUUGGGUAAUGCAGAUGAUUGUGAUGAUGAUAUGCAAUUUGUUUGGGCCUUCCUUACGUUUACAUGAUAUAUAUAUAGUAAUGCUUCCUUUAACUUUUCUAUAAAAAAUAAAGUUUUUUUGUUGCUGGGACAGAGUUUUAACCACACGAUCUUUGAUCCAAUGGCAAGGAUCCCUAAACCGCCUCUCCCACCGUCGCCGCGCUAAUGACCCAAAACAAUUUGCUCGCCCCCAUGCCUCUCCUUCAUACUAGUCGUGAGAGAGCCUGCUUGCCCUGCUUUUCUUCCCAUCUUUGGCGACGAUGUUGUGCUCCCAUCUGUUGUCACCGUGAAAUAAUGUGUUCCCAUACUUUGAGCAUUGAUACGCUCAACAAUAUACAAGAUGUAUGUCAUAUAAAGUACACCGUAAAAUUCAUAUUUUAAAUUGGUUUGUAACUCAUACAUUUGUGUCUUUUGAGGUGGAAUUUGUGAGUUAGCACGUCCGGUGAAAAGGGGGGCAAUAACAGGAUUUUGAUAACCAAAAUGCUCGCUGGGAGAGCAUUGUAAAUUGAGCAUUUUCCAUGGCAAUGCAUAUUGUUUGAGGAUGGCAAAUUUUCUUAGCAAGGAUGAGAGCACAAUCGAAUGUUUUCCAAAAGAAAGGGAAGUGUUAAAAAUCCAACGUUUGAUAGGUAAGCAUCAGGACUUGAACCCUAAUGGGCUGGGGCUACUACUAUCCCUCUAACCAUCCAACCACAGGUUGGUUCACUUGAGUAUGGUAUGUUGUUUGUAGUAUUUAUUCAAUCGAAGAGUAUGUACGUGUAGUAUGUAGUAUAUAAGAAUGUUUAGAGCAACUCUAGCACACCCCGCAAAAUAACCACCAAAAUACGGGUCGGUGCGGAAAAUCCCGCUCGAACAGACCCCGCAAACGUGGCCGGCCCGCAAAAGAAUUUGAGGGCCGUGGCAAAAUCUCGGUGUAAGGGCAUAUUUAUCCCUUAGUAGUUUUGGUGAUUGAUGACAAUGCUUUUGCAGACUAAUCAUGUGCAUUGAGCAUUUCAGAUAUAUCAUGUCUAGGCACAAGACGAUUUAAUGCCCCUCAAAGACUAUUGAAGACGGCGUUUCUCUACGUUUCUUUUCGGUGGUUUGAGUUGUAGAAAAGCCGUACUAUUAAGAGUGGGUCCGUGUUGGAAAGGUUUGGGUGGAAUCAACAUGUACACGUCUGUUCCUUUUGCACCACCUUUUCUUUGGCUCUUUGGAGCAUCCUCCGUUUCUCCGAAUCUCUACAAAAGGAAAGACUUCUAGUGAUGUUGAACUGGGGCAUGCGGUAGUACUGCUCCUCAGAGCGGUAGUACCACAGGCCCCUGCGGUAGUACCGGCCAUGGGCGCGGUAGUACCGCAGGUGCUCACGGUAGUACCGCUUCUCUGACGUGGUAGUACCGUGGCCUCAGGUCUGGCUCAGCAGCACGAGCGGAAGUAGGGGCGGAUGUAAUUUUUUUACAUCCGCGCCCUACGCGGUAGUACCGCUCCUGGCUUGCGGUACUACCGUGUCGGAUUUUUGCAUAGAUCUAAACUCAGCGGAAGUUGCCACGGAUGUAUUUUUAUAUGUCCGUGCCUUCCCAAAUCUGGACUAUCCCUGCCUUGCGAUAGUACCGCAAGGGGGAGCGGUAGUACCGCGCCAGCGGUUCUACCACCCUCUGCUUCAUCGCAUCAGGGCUGUUUUGGAUACUGCUGCGUGGGCGGUAGUACUGCAGUGCCUUGCGGUAGUACCGUGGGCUCUGGCGGUACCGCGUCUCCGGUGCAGUAGUACCGUGCGUCGCAGGCUAAGUUAGUGGAUAACAGUUGGAUUUUUCCUUCCACUAUAAAAGGGGAGUCUUCUUCUCCGAGUUGACUUACCUCUUCAACCCCAAGCUCCAUUGUUGCUCUAAGCUCCAUUUUCGCACGAUCUCUCUCCCUAGCCAAUCAAACUUGUUGAUCUCCUAGGGAUUGGUUGAGAAGGCCUCGAUCUACACAUCCACCAAGAGAAAUUUGAUCCCCCCCCAGUAAUCCCGCACAGAUCUUGUUACUCUUGGGUGUUUGAACACCCUAGACGGUUGAGGUCAUCGUGGAGCCAUACUUCAUUGUGGUGAAGCUUCGUGGUGUUGUUAGGAGCCUCCAAUUAAGUUGUGGAGAUUGCCCCAAACUUGUUUGUAAAGGUUCGGUCGUCGCCUUCCAGGGCACCAAUAGUGGAAUCACGACAUCUCGCAUUGUUAGAGGGCGUGAGGAGAAUACGGUGGCCCUAGUGACUUCUUGGGGAGCAUUGUGCCUCCACACCAAGGUAGUCAGAGUCGGGAUUCGGAGUCGGAUCAGUUUUCCUCAGACAGAAUCGAGUCGUAAGAUCGAGUCAUGGAAUCGAGGACUCUACUAGAUUUACUCAAAUAAGAUAUUUUGUAUGCACACAAGAAAUUUAUAUGGGUUCUAUAGAGUUUUGACACUAAAUAUGGAGCAAAGAACACACACAUCAAUGCUAGUUGUAUUCCACUUCUUUUUAUGGCUAACCUACCAUGUAGCUCGCAUGUAUGGAACAUAUAUGAGAGGGAAAUAUAUAUAACAUUUAAACCUUCAAUGCACGAAAUUUACUAAUGUUCUUUUUAGAGUGCGUGAAUAGUCGGUCACUUGUUUAUCUGACCUACAAUGCUAAACCUUGAAGGGUCUUGCUCUCCUUUUCUGAUCAAUCUUGAAGCAUCCUCCUUUUCACGCUAAUUCCAUAUGUCGACAAGCCUGACCCUCAAUUUCGAUCUAGGGUUUCUAAGAGCUUGAUCAAAGGUGUCCAUGGCUGAGUGGUUGGACUUGGGAGGGGAAUAAAGGUCCAUGAGGUAUAUGAAAAGGGGUUUGGAUGAUGGCAUACUAUUUUGCUACAACUAAACAAACGGCUUAGAUAAGUUAGUAGAAUCGGAUGUAGUCCAUAGCAUAGUCGGGAUUGUACAGUUUUGUAUAGGAUUCUAUGAUUUGGAUCGCGACUCAACAUGGAUUCUACCUGAUCCGGAUUCAUAGUGGGAUUUGGAUCGACAUGCUUCCAUAGGGCCGUGAAGUCGUAGGAUUCUAGCAGUCGAAUCAGGAUUCUGACUACCUUGCUCCACACCGCUCCAACGGGGACGUACUUCCUCUUAAAGGGAAGGAACUUCGGUAACACAUCCUCGUCUUCACUAGCUCCACUAUUGGUUAUCUCAUCCCUUUACUCGUGCAAGCUCAUCUUGUGUUACAUCCCUUGCUUGCUUGUGUACUUAUUGUUGUGGCAUCAUAUAGGUUUCUCACCUAGUUGCAUAUCUAGACAACCUACUUUGCUGCAAAGUUUAAAUUGGUAAAGAAAAGCUAAAAAUUGUUAGUUGCCUAUUCACCCCCCUAUAGUCAACUAUAUCGAUCCUGUCAAUUAGUAUCAGAGCCUCGUCUCUUUAUUAAGGACUUUGCCGUCCGAAGAGUAUGGUUGACACCGUAGACGGUGAGGAGGAGCACCCCGGUGUGAUUUUGUCCUCAUCUACGGCCGAUGGUGGAACCUCGAUCUCACGUGAGGAGCUCAUUGUGGCCUUGGACACAUUUAAAACCUGCAUGAAGGCCAAGGUCAAAGGCGUGCUUAAAAACUUUCUUGAUGGUCUUAAAUUCUCCACCGCACCGUUGGAAGUGGUCGAUCCCACUAACAAGGUGACAGAUGCUAAUUCCGACAAGGGGAAGCUUCUAGUGAUAAAGUUCCUUUGUCUAGUGGUAAAAGUGGUAAUGGCAUCUUUGCCCAUGUGGAAUCUCCACUUACCUAUGGAGGACCGAUUCCCUCCACUCAUUUAAAUCAUGCCGGUUCUCCUCCUAAGAUUGUGAAAAAUGUGGAUUUUGACGCUUGGGUCUAUCGCUUUAAACGUCAUUUAAAUCAUGUUAGUACUAACCUUUGGAGAAUCAUUGAGCAAUGUUUCUAUCCGCAUGACCCAAGCAACUUCACCCCAAGAGAAGUCGCGGAUCAUCAAUUCAACGAGAAUGCUCUCUUCAUCAUCCAAGAUGCAAUCCCUCCCUGAUAACGCACAAGUAUAGGGGAUCACAAUAGUUUUUGAGGGUAGAGUAGUCAACCCAAAUUUAUUGAUUCGACUCAAGGGGAGCCAAAGAAUAUUCUCAAGUAUUAACAGUUGAGUUGUCAAUUCAACUGCACCUGAAAGACUUAAUAUCUGCAGCAAAGUAUUUAGUAGCAAAGUAAUAUGGAAGUAACGAUAACGGUGGCAAAAGUAAUAGUAUUGGUUUUGUAGUGAUUGUAACAGUGGCAACGGAACAGUAACUAAGCGAAGAUCAAUAUAUGAAAAGCUCGUAGGCAAUGGAUCAGUGAUGGAUAAUUAUGUCGGAUGCGAUUCCUCAUGCAAUAGUUAUAACAUAGGGUGACAUAGAACUAGCUCCAGUUCAUCAAUGUAAUGUAGGCAUGUAUUCCGAAUAUAGUCAUACGUGCUUAUGGAAAAGAACUUGCAUGACAUCUUUUGUCCUACCCUCCCGUGGUAGCGGGGUCCUAUUGGAAACUAAGGGAUAUUAAGGCCUCCUUUUAAUAGAGUACCGGACCCGAGCAUUAACACUUAGUGAAUACAUGAACUCCUCAAACUACGAUCAUCACCGGUAAGUAUCCCGAUUAUUGUCACUUCGGGGUUAACGGAUCAUAACACAUAAUAGGUGACUAUAGACUUGCAAGAUAGGAUCAAGAACUCACAUAUAUUCAUGGAAACAUAAUAGGUUCAGAUCUGAAAUCAUGGCACUCGGGCUCUAGUGACAAGCAUUAAGCAUAGAAAAGUCAUAGCAACAUCAAUCUCAGAACAUAAUGGAAACUAGGGAUCAAACCCUAACAAAACUAACUUGAUUACAUGAUAAAUUUCAUCCAACCCAUCACCGUCCAGCAAGCCUACGAUGGAAUUACUCACGCGCGGCGGUGAGCAUCAUGAAAUUGGUGAUGGAGGAAGGUUGAUGAUGACGAUGGCGACGAAUUCCCCUCUCCGGAGCCCCGAACGGACUCCAGAUCAGCCCUCCCGAGAGAGAUUAGGGCUUGGCGGUGGCUCCGUAUCGUAAAACGCGAUGAAUCCUUCUCUCUGAUUUUUUUUCUCCCCGAACAUGAAUAUAUAGAGUUGGAGUUGAGGUCGGUGGAGCCUCAGGGGGCCCACAAGAUAGGGGGCUCGCCCCGAGGGGUUGGCGCGCCCCCACCCUCGUGGACAGGGUGUGGCCCCCUGGUGUUGAUUCUUUCGCCAGUAUAUUUUAUAUAUUCCAAAAAUAUUCUCCGUGAAGUUUCAGGUCAUUCCGAGAACUUUUAUUUCUGCACAAAAAUAACACCAUGUUAAUUCUGUUGAAAAACGCGUCAGUCCGGGUUAGUUCCAUUCAAAUCAUGCAAGUUAGAGUCCAAAACAAGGUCAAAAGUGUUUGGAAAAGUAGAUACGAUGGAGACGUAUCAACUCCCCAAGCUUAAACCUUUGCUUGUCCUCAAGCAAUUCAGUUGACAAACUGAAAGUGAUAAAGAAAAACUUUUACAAACUCUAUUUGAUCUUGUUGUUGUAAACAUGUAAAGCCAGCAUUCAAGUUUUCGGCAAAGAUUAUGAACUAACCAUAUUCACAAUAACAAUUAGGUCUCAUGUUUACUCAUAUCAAUGGCAUAAUCAACUAGCGAGCAAUAAUAGUAAAUCUCGGAUGACAACACCUUCUCAAAACAAUCAUAAUAUGAUAUAACAAGAUGGUAUCUCGCUAGCCCUUUCUGAGACCGCAAAACAUAAAUGCAGAGCACCUCUGAAGUUCAAGGACUGACUAAACAUUGUAAUUCAUGGUAAAAGAGAUCCAGUCACAGUCAUACUCAAUGUAAACUAAUAGUAAUGCAUGCAAAUGACAUGGGUGCUCUCCAACUGGUUUUAUUUUGAGUGUAUGAACAUAGAAGGUUUUAUUCAUGUAAAUAGAACAACAAUUAUUCUUUGACUUAAAUGAAUAAUCGUAUUGCAAUAAACAUGAUCCAAUCAUAUUCAUGCUCAACGCAAACACCAAAUAACAUUUAUUCUAGGUUCAACACUAAUCCCGAAGGUAAAGGGGGUGUGCGAUGGUGAUCUUAUCUACCUUGGAAUCACUUCCAACACACAUCAUCACCUUGCCCUUAACUAGUCUCUGUUUAUUUUGCAAAUCCCGUUUCGAGUUACUACUCUUUAGCAGCUGAACCAGUAUUAAAUACCGAGGGGUUGCUAUAAACACUAGUAAAGUACACAUCAAUAACAUGUAUAUCCAAUAUACCUUUGUUCAGUAUGCCAUCCUUCUUAUCCGCCAAGUAUCUAGGGCAGUUCCACUUCCAGUGACCAUUUCCUUUGCAGUAGCAGCAGUCAGUUCAGGCUUGGGUCUAGCUUUGGGAUUCUUCAUGGGAGUGGCAACUUGCUUGCCAUUCUUCUUGAAGUUCCCUUUCUUUCCCUUGCCCUUUUACUUGAAACUAGUGGUCUUGUUAACCAUCAACACUUGAUGCUUUUCUUGAUUUCUACCUUUACCGAUUUUAGCACCGCGAAGAGCUUGGGAAUUGUUUUUGUUAUCCCUUGCAUAUUAUAGUUCAUCACGAAGUUCUAGUAACUUGGUGAUAGUGACUAGAGAACUUUGUCAAUUACUAUCUUAUCUGGAAGAUUAACUCCCACUUGAUUCAAGCAAUUGUAGUACUCAGACAUUCUAAGCACAUGCUCACUGGUUGAGCUAUUCUCCUACAUCUUGUAGGCAAAGUACUCGUCAGAGGUCUCAUACCUCUUGACUCGGGCAUGAGUCUGAAAUACCAAUUUCAGCUCUUAGAACAUCUCAUAUGCUCCGUGACAUUUCAAAACAUUUUUGAAGUCCCGGUUCUAAGCCGUAAAGCAUGGUGCACUAAACUAUCAAGUAGCCAUCAUACUGAGCUUUGCCAAACGUUCAUAACGUCUGCAUCUGCUCCUGCAAUAGGUCCAUCACCUAGCGGUGCAUCAAGGACAUAAUUCUUCUAUGCAGCAAUGAGGAUAAACCUCAUAUCACGGACCUAGUCCGCAUCAUUGCUACUAUCAUCUUUCAACUUAUUUUUCUCUAGGAACAUAUAAAAAAUAAAUGAGGAGCUACAUCGCGAGCUAUUGAUCUGCAACAUAGUUAUGCAAAUACUAUCAGGACUAAGUUCAUGAUAAAUUAAAGUUCAAUUAAUAAAAUUACUUAAGAACUCCCACUUAUAUAGACAUCUCUCUAACCAUCUAAGUGAUCACGUGAUCCAUAUCAACUAAACCAUGUCCGAUCAUCACGUGAGAUGGAGUAGUUUUCAAUGGUGAACAUCCUAUGUUGAUCAUAUCUACUAUAUGAUUCAUGCUCGACCUUUCGGUCUCAGUGUUCCGAGGCCAUAUCUGCAUAUGCUAGGCUCGUCAAGUUUAACCCGAGUAUUCCGCGUGUGCAAAACUGGCUUGCACCCGUUGUAUGUGAACGUAGAGCUUAUCACUCCCGAUCAUCACGUGGUGUCUCGACACGAUGAACUGUUGUCGCAACGGUGCAUACUCAGGGAGAAUACUUAUACCUUAAAUUUAGUGAGAGAUCAUCUUAUAAUGCUACCGCCGAACUAAGCAAAAUAAGAUGCAUAAAGGAUAAACAUCACAUGCAAUCAAUAUAAGUGAUAUGAUAUGGCCAUCAUCAUCUUGUGCCUUUGAUCUCCAUCUCCAAAGCACCGUCAUGAUCACCAUCAUCACCGGCUUGACACCUUGAUCUCCAUCGAAGCAUGGUUGUCGUCUCGCGAACUAUUGCUUCUAUGACUGUCGCUACUGCUUAGUGAUAAAGUAAAGCAAUUACAUGGCGAUUGCAUUUCAUACAAUAAAGCAACAACCAUAUGGCUCCUGCCAGUUGCCGAUAACUGUGUUACAAAACACGAUCAUCUCAAACAAUAAAAUUUAGCAUCAUGUCUUGACCAUAUCACAUCACAACAUGCCCUGCAAAAACAAGUUAGACGUCCUCUACUUUGUUGUUGCAAGUUUUACGUGGCUGCUACGGGCUGAGCAAGAACCGUUCUUACCUACGCAUCAAAAACCACAACGCAAUAUAGUGAUUGCUUUUUGAUCUUCGAAAGAACCCUAUUCAUUGAAUCCGAUUGAACUAAAGUUGGAGAAACUGACACCCACCAGCCACCUGUGUGCGAAGCACGUCAGUAGAACUAGUCUCGCGUAAGCGUAUGCGUAAUGUCGGUCUGGGCCGCUUCAUCCAACAAUGCCGCUGAAGCACUUUGUUGCUCUCUUGGAACAACUUGGUGAGGCCAAUGACAUGAUCAAGGCUCACGAAGACACCAUCUCUAAGAUGGAGGGGCAUAGUCGUGACUAUGCCAAUGAGAUAUCGGAUCUCUCUAAUGCUCGUGAGGAAGAGUGUGGUCAUCGCUUGGCUCUUGAGGAGUCACACAACGAUGACCAUGCUAAAUUAAAGAAAGAUCUUGAUCAUGCUCUUGUUGUGUCUCGUGUGCUAAAUUCCGAGAAGGUUAAACUUGGUGCUAAUCUUGCUAGACUCAAGGAGGAGUUUGAUAUACUUGACAAGGCUCACAAGGCCUUGAAGAGUACUCAUGCUAGUCUUAAAGAGUCUCAUGAUCAACUCCAAGUGAGGCUAACCAAAGAGAAAGCCACUUUUCCUCAUAUGGUUUUAAUUGAUAAUGCAAAUGCUACUAACCCUUGUUGUGAGCAUGUGCAUCUUGUUGAGGAGAAUGCAAAGUUGAAGGAGCAACUUGAGAAAUGCCUUGUGUCGUGCAUACAAGGUGAGAAGAACCUCAACGAUCUUUUGAGCAAUCAAAAGGAAGUUGUGGCCAAGGAAGGGAUUGGGUUCGCAACCAAGUCCAAGAACAAGAAGAAGAAUGACAAGGCCAAAUGACCUCCUCCACUCAUGCAAACUUUUAUCAAAGAGGGAGAGGGUGCCUCUAAGGAGAAGGAGAACAAUGUGAAGGGUGGUGGUGUCAAGAAGGGCAAUGCCACCCCUUCCAACAAAGCCGGCGACUUUAACCCUUCCUAUGUGAUAUGCCAUGCUAGUGAUGGACAUGUCUAUGCUAAAUUUGUUGGUUCUCCUUAUGAGUACAUUGAAUGGUAUAUUUGGGUUCCUAAGACCCUUGUCACUAACAUCAAAGGACCCAUUACAAAAUGGGUACCUAAAAAACCAAGCAUUGAUCUCUUGUAGGUGUUUUCUUCUGGUGGGGGAUCAUGGUUGCUCGAUAGUGGAGCUACUAAUCAUAUGACCGGAAGCAAGGACUUGGUGGUGGACGUGCAAAAGAUUCCAUCUAUGCCCACCAAUGUAGAGUGGGGUGAUGCCUCGUCCUCUAAGGUAUUGGGGCUUGGCAAGGUUGUCAUUUCUCAUGAUCUCACGAUCGAGAAGGUCAUGCUUGUUGAGUCCCUUGCAUACAAUUUACUUUUCGUUCGUCAACUUGCAAUCAUGGGCUUUGCCACUUUCUUUGAUAUUUAUACCGUGGCCCUCUUGUGGAGGAAUACUCUUAAAGUAGCCUUUGUUGGGCAUGUCGAGAACGGUCUCUAUGUGAUUAACUUUUCGAAGCGACCCACUAAGACCGCGACAUGCCUAAUGGCUAAAGUUGACGUGGGAUGGCUUUGGCAUCGCCGUUUAGCCCAUGUCAAUAUGAGAUCUUUGUAAAGUCUUCUCAAGGGGGACCAUAUCCGUGGACUAACAAAUGUUAGUUUUGUCAAAGAUCGUGCUUGCAGUGCUUGCAUUGAAGGAAAGCUACAUGAGAAGGCUCACCCUCCCACGACUAUCAUUUACUCAAAGAUGCAUCUGGAGCUCCUUCACUUGGAUCUCUUUGGGCCUCCAUCCUUUGAUAGCCUUGGGGGUGGAAAGUAUUGCUAGGUGAUUGUCGAUGACUAUUCAAGAUACACUUGGGUGUACUUAUUCAAGAGGAAGAGUGAGACCCAACAAACCGUCAUUGACUUUGCAAAUGAAGCUCAACGUCAACACAAUGCAAAGAUCUUGACAAUAAGAAGUGACAACGACACUGAGUUCAAGAACUACACCUUGGAUGAGUUUCUUAGUGAUGAGGGGAUCAAACAUCAAUAUUCCGCACCUUACACCCCUCAACAAAAUGGUGUAGCGGAGGGGAAGAACCAGACGUUGAUGGAUGCGGCAAGGACCAUGAUGGCAGAGUUCAAGUGUCCAUACAACUUUUGGGCCGAAGGCAUCAACACCGCGUGUCAUGCAUCCAAUCGGCUCUAUCUCUGCAAAGGCUUAAACAAGACCCCAUAUGAGAUACUCACCGGUAACAAGCCCAACCUCAAGUACUUCCGGGUGUUCGGGUGUAAGUGUUUCAUCCUCAAGAAAGGUGUUCGCUUGUCUAAAUUCGAGGCUAGAGCUUAUGAGGGCAUAUUUGUUGGUUAUGCUACAAACUCUCAUGCUUACCGUGUCCUCAAUAAGUCCACGGGACUUAUUGAGGAGACGUGUAACAUGGAGUUUGAUGAGAAUAACGGCUCCCAAGUGGAGCAAAGUGUCACUUGUGAUGUAGGUGAUGAAAUUCCUCCCCAAGCCAUAAGAAGAAUGGGUGUUGGUUUUAUCCUACCCAUUGAGGAACCCCUUGUGGCCGAAGGAUAAGGACAAUGUUCCACUUAAGUGGAACCAUCUGUUGGGGAACACAGUAAUUUCAAAAAACUUCCUAUGCACAUGCAAGAUCAUGGUGAUGCAUAGUAACAAGAGGGGAGAGUAUCCUCUACGUACCCUUGUAGACCAUAAGCGGAAGCGUUAUGACAACGCGGUUGAUGUAGUCGUACGUCUUCACGGUCGACCGAUCUAGCAUCGAAGGUACGGCACCUCCGCGAUCUGCACAUGUUCGGCUCGGUGACGUCCCGCGAACUCACGAUCCAGUAGAGCUUCGAGGGAGAGCUUUGUCAACACGACGGCGUGAUGAUGGUGAUGAUGUUGCUACCGGAACAGGGCUUCUCCUAAGAACCACUAUGGUAUUACCGAGGUGGAUUAUGGUGGAGGGGGGCACCGCACAGGGCUAAAAGAUCAAUGAUCAACUUGUGUGUCUAUGGGGUGCCCCCUCCCCCGUAUAUAAAGGAGUGGAGGAGGGGGAGAGCCGGCCCUCCUAUGGCGCGCCCCAUGGGAAGUCCUACUCCCACUGGGAGUAGGAUUCCCCCUUUCCAUGUAGUAGGAGUAGGAGAAGGAAGGAGGAAAGAGGGAGAAGGAAAGGGGGUGUCGCCCCCCUUCCUAGUCCAAUUCAUACUAGAGGGGAAGGGGGCGCGCGACCUGCCCUGGCAGCCCCUCUCUCUUUGCACUAAGGCCCAUUAAACUCCCCGAGGGGUUCCGGUAACCCCCUGGUACUCCGGUAUAUGCCCGAACUUCACUCGGAACCCUUCCGAUGUCCAAACAUAGUCGUCCAAUAUAUCGAUCUUUCACUAGUAGAAAAAGGGCCAUUUGUCCCGGUUCGUAAGGGCCUUCUGUCCCGGUUUUGGAACCGGGACUAAAAGGUCGUUACUAAUGCCUUUGGCCUUUAGUCCCGGUUCUUACACGAACCGGGACAGAUGGGCCUCCACGUGGCCGCUGCGGCUAGCCCAGGUAGGGGGGCUUUGGUCCCGGUUGGUGACACCAACCGGGACCAAAAGGCAUCCACGCGUUAGCAGCUGGCUGGAGCUGAGGUUUUUGUUUUUUUGAAAGGGGCUGGUUUAGGGGUUUUGGGGGUUAAUUUAGGUUGUUAUUAGCUCGCUAAUAGAGAGAAGUGUCCUCUCUCUUAUAUCUUCGUGCUUGGUUUACCAACGCUACUGGUAUGCCUAAACAUGGCUUAGAUUGAAGUGAAGGCAACAUGUGGUGCAUGUCGAAAGUAAUACUAAUCCUAACUUGAUCAAGUUUGGAUUGUACUACUUUCGACAUGCACCACAUGCAUGUUGCCUUCACUUCAAUCCAAUCCAUGUUCAUUUCACCUGCUGAUAUAUAAUAACUUUUCAUGCUCGCAUCAUGCAUCAUCAUAUAUAAUAACAAGUCCUACUAAUCAUCAUCAUAUAACUUCUACUCGUUAUUAAUAACAAGUCAUAUGAUCAUCAUCCUCAUAGUCAUCGAACCAGCCCUACUUAAUUGUUCUUAGCACAUGAUCAUCAGUAUUAGGUAGGACCUAAAUACCCUCUUUAAGGUAAAAUAGCAUAAAACAAUAUAGACCCUGACUCUCCAUUAUGGAGAAUGGAGAUCAUCCUGUCUCCAAUUCUUGCGCUUCACUUCCUUUUGCUUCCAAGAACCUCCUUAUGACUGUCCAUACAUUUUUUCCAUCCUUUGAUUAGCAUGUCUCCACUUCUUUGAGAAAUCCGGUAUGGACAGCUGAGAUUCAUAGGAUGACCUGGAUGUAUGUUCAAAACACGAAGGCUUCCAUUCUGAUACAUCAAAUGAGGCACACAAUCCAUCGGGAUUCUCUGUUGGAAAACAUAGUAAUAACUUCAUAGUUAGCAAUGAUGUACUAGUUUUAGAAGUAUGCAAAAGAUGCACGGAUGUCGUAAUAGUAAAAAAUAUUACCAGGGUAUCUCCAUGGUAGUUACCGUAGUUUAACACGUGCACUAGUGGCACGUAUUGACCAUAAUGUCGAGGAGUUUUAUUGUAGAUAUUGUAAUUAUCAAUAUCAGUACAAAAUCCAACCAGAUGAUUUUUCUCCUGAUAAGUUAAUUCGGAGCCACCGGUGUAGUGGGUUUUGUCUACCAUCUUUCGCACGUUCUUUGAAGAAUGAAAAUAAGCUGUCAAUGGAAAUAAGUUGUCAACUAUUUUGAAAUAAACAAUAUAAAUUAGUUAAUAACUAUAUUUGAGAAACUCACAUAGCGGUAGAACUGGAAGCGUAUCAACAAGGACCCAAAUGUCCAUAUUGUCUUGGUCGAUGUCAGGAUCACCAAGAUCCAUGGUUGUAAGCAUACCCUCAUGAAAACCAUACAUCUUGCAAAGUGCUUCCCAAUUUUUGCAACCAAAAUGGGUUACGCUCUCAGAAUUAUACAGAUUUACUUCAAAAUCCACAUCAUGAUGAGUCCUUAGGUGAAUUUUCUUUGUUUCAUAAUUUUCAUGGUCUUCAAAAUCCAUCCUCUCCAAGACAUAGCGUCUUGCAUGGCAUGGGAUAAGCUACUCGAAUUGUAAAAGAUGAAAAUUACACUUUGAAAUAGUUGAUGUCAUGCUUAAUUACGAAAAAAGACUUGUCGUCUUUUGAUGACCCACAAGUAUAGGGAAUCUAUCGUAGUUCUUUCGAUAAGUAAGAGUGUCGAACCCAACGAGGAGCAGAAGGAAAUGAUAAGCGGUUUCCAGCAAGGUAUUCUCUGCAAGUACUGAAAUAAGUGGUAACAGAUAGUUUUGUGAUAGGAUAAUUUGUAACGAGUAACAAAUAACAAAAGUAAAUAAAGUGCAGCAAGGUGGCCCAAUCCUUUUUGUAGCAAAGGACAAGCCUGGACAAACUCUUAUAUAGAGAAAAGCGCUCCCGAGGACACAUGGGAAUAUCGUCAAGCUAGUUUUCAUCACGUUCAUAUGAUUCGCGUUCAGUACUUUGAUAAUUUGGUAUGUGGGUGGACCGGUGCUUGGGUACUGUCCUUACUUGGACAAGCAUCCCACUUAUGAUUAACCUCUAUUGCAAGCAUCCGCAAAUACAACAAAAGUAUUAAGGUAAACCUAACCAUAGCAUGAAACAUAUGGAUCCAAAUCAUCCCCUUACGAAGCAACGCAUAAACUAGGGUUUAAGCUUCUGUCACUCUAGCAACCCAUCAUCUACUUAUUACUUCCCAAUGCCUUCCUCUAGGCCCAAAUAAUGGUGAAGUGUUAUGUAGUCGACGUUCACAUAACACCACUAGAGGAGAGACAACAUACAUCUCAUCAAAAUAUCGAACGAAUACCAAAUUCACAUGACUACUAAUAGCAAGACUUCUCCCAUGUCCUCAGGAACAAACGUAACUACUCACAAAGCAUAUUCAUGUUCAUAAUCAGAGGGGUAUUAAUAUGCAUAUAGGAUCUGAACAUAUGAUCUUCCACCAAAUAAACCAACUAGCAUCAACUACAAGGAGUAAUUAACACUACUAGCAACCUACUAGUACCAAUCCCAGACUUGGAGACAAGAAUUGGAUACAAGAGAUGAACUAGGGUUUUGAGAGGAGAUGGUGCUGGUGAAGAUGUUGAUGGAGAUUGCCCUCUCCCGAUGAGAGGAGUGUUGGUGAUGACGAUGGCGAUGAUUUCCCCCUCCCGGAGGGAAGUUUCCCCGGCAGAACAGCUCCGCCAGAGCCCUAGAUUGGUUCCGCCAAGGUUCCGCCUCAUGGUGGCGGAGUUUCGUCCGAGGAGAUGGCUUCUCAUUUUUUCCUCAUCGAAAGACUACAUAUAGCAGAAGAUGGCCAUCGGAGGGCCACCAGGGGGCCCACGAAGUAGGGGGGCGCGCCCCCACCCUCGUGGGUAGGGUGUGGCCCCCCUGGUGAACUUCUUGCGCUCAAUAUUUUUUUAUAUAUUCUGAAAACGUCUUCUGUGAAGUUUCAGGACUUUUGGAGCUGUGCAGAAUAGGUCUCUAAUAUUUGCUCCUUUUCCAGCCCAGAAUUCCAGCUGCCGGCAUUCUCCCUCUUUAUGUAAACCUUGUAAAAUAAGAGAGAAUAGGCAUAAGUAUUGUGACAUAAUGUGUAAUAACAGCCCAUAAUGCAAUAAAUAUCGAUAUAAAAGCAUGAUGAAAAAUGGACGUAUCAACUCCCCCAAGCUAAGACCUCGCUUGUCCUCAAGCGAAAGCCGAAAUCGGAAAAUAUGUCCACAUGUUUAGAGAUAGAGGUGUCGAUAAAAAUAAAAUACGGACAUGAGGGCAUCAUGAUCGUUCUUAGAACAUCAACUUAUAUAAUUCUUGUCAUAUGAUUUCUUAUGCUAGAGCAAUAAUUCAAUCACAAUUUCAAGUAUGAGUCGUAAACUUCAUUGAAAACUAACAAACUAUAAUCUCAGUCAUUGGAGCAAUUGCAAUUUAUCAUAACAUGGGAAAGAGUCAAUAUAUAAGAGCUUUUCAGCAAGUCCACAUACUCAACUAUCAUAUAGUCUUUCACAAUUGCCGACACUCACACAAUACUUAUGGGUAUGGAGUUUUAAUCGGACACAGAGAAAUAUAGGGGCUUAUAGUUUUGCCUCCCAACGUUUUACCGCAAGGGUAAUGUCUGUUGGGGAACGUAGUAAUUUCAAAAAAAUUCCUAAGCACACGCAAGAUCAUGGUGAUGCAUAGCAACGAGAGGGGAGAGUAUUGUCUACGUACCCUCAUAGACCGGCAACGGAAGUGUUGACACAACAUAGAGGAAGUAGUCGUACGUCUUCCCGAUCUGACCGAUCCAAGUACCAAACGUACAACACCUCCGAGUUUUGCACACGUUCGGCUCGAUGACGAUCCCCCGACUUCGGUCCAGCAAAGUGUCGAGGAAGAGUUCCGUCAGCACGACGGCGUGGUGAUGAUCUUGAUGUUCUACCGUCGCAGGGCUUCGCCUAAGCACCGCUACAAUAUUAUCGAGGAGUAUGGUGGAAGGGGGCACCGCACACGGCUAAGAAAACGAUCACGAGGAUCAACUUGUGUCUCCAUGGGGUGCCCCCUGCCCCCGUAUAUAAAGGAGCAAGGGGGAGGAGGCCGGCCCUAGGAGGGGCAUGCCAGGGGAGUAGGAUUCCUACUCCUAGUUGGAGUAGGUUUCCUCCUUUCCUAGUUCAACUAGGAGAAGGGGGGAAAGGGGGGAAGACGGGAAGGAAGGGAGAGAGGGGCCACGCCCCAAACCCCUUGUCCAAUUCGGACUGGGCUUGGGAGGGGCGCGCGCCACCUCCUGGUCCUUUCCACUAAGGCCCAUUGCUUCUUCCUCGUAUUCCCAUAACUCCCCGGUUCCUCCGAAAAUACCCGAAUCACUCGGAACCUUUCCGAUGUCCGAAUAUAGUCGUCCAAUAUAUCGAUCUUUACGUCUCGACCAUUUCGAGACUCCUCGUCAUGUCCCCGAUCUCAUCCGGGACUCCGAACUCCUUCGGUACAUCAAAACUCAUAAACUCAUAAUAUAACUGUCAUCGAAACCUUAAGCGUGCGGACCCUACGGGUUCGAGAACAAUGUAGACAUGACCGAGACAUGGCUCCGGUCAAUAACCAAUAGCGGAACCUGGAUGCCCAUAUUGGCUCCUACAUAUUCUACGAAGAUCUUUAUCGGUGAGACCGCAUAACAACUUACGUUGUUCCCUUUGUCAUCGGUAUGUUACUUGCCCGAGAUUCGAUCGUCGGUAUCUCAAUACCAAGUUCAAUCUCGUUACCGGCAAGUCUCUUUACUCGUUCCGUAAUACAUCAUCUCGCAACUAACUCAUUAGUUGCAAUGCUUGCAAGGCUUAUGUGAUGUGCAUUACCGAGAGGGCCCAGAGAUACCUCUCCGACAAUCGGAGUGACAAAUUCUAAUCUCGAAAUACGCCAACCCAACAUGUACCUUUGGAGAUACCUGUAGAGCUCCUUUAUAAUCACCCAGUUACGUUGUGACGUUUGGUGGCACACAAAGUGUUCCUCCGGUAAACGGGAGUUGCAUAAUCUCAUAGUCAUAGGAACAUGUAUAAGUCAUGAAGAAAGCAAUAGCAACAUACUAAACGAUCAAGUGCUAUGCUAACGGAAUGGGUCAAGUCAAUCAUAUCAUUCUCCUAAUGAUGUGAUCCCGUUAAUCAAAUGACAACUCAUGUCUAUGGUUAGGAAACAUAACCAUCUUUCAUCAACGAGCUAGUCAAGUAGAGGCAUACUAGUGACACUAUGUUUGUCUAGUAUUCACACAUGUAUUAUGUUUCCGGUUAAUACAAUUCUAGCAUGAAUAAUAAACAUUUAUCAUGAUAUAAGGAAAUAAAUAAUAACUUUAUUAUUGCCUCUAGGGCAUAUUUCCUUCAGUCUCCCACUUGCACUAGAGUCAAUAAUCUAGUUCACAUCGCCAUGUGAUUAACACUCAUAGUUCACAUCGAUAUGUGACCAACACCCAAAGGGUUUACUAGAGUCAAUAAUCUAGUUCACAUCGCUAUGUGAUUAACACCCAAAGAGUACUAAGGUGUGAUCAUGUUUUGCUUGUGAGAGAAGUUUAGUCAACGGGUCUGCCACAUUCAGAUCCGUACGUAUUUUGCAAAUUUCUAUGUCAACAAUGCUCUGCACGGAGCUACUCUAGCUAAUUGCUCCCACUUUCAAUAUGUAUCUAGAUCGAGACUUAGAGUCAUCCAGAUCUGUGUCAAAACUUGCAUCGACGUAACUUUUUACGACGAACCUUUUGUCACCUCCAUAAUUGAGAAAUAUUUCCUUAUUCCACUAAGGAUAAUUUUGACCGCUGUCCAGUGAUCUACUCUUAGAUCACUAUUGUACUCCCUUGCUUAACACAGUGUAGGGUAUACAAUAGAUCUGGUACACAGCAUGGCAUACUUUAUAGAACCUAUAGCUGAGGCAUAGGGAAUGACUUUCAUUCUCUUUCUAUCUUCUGCCGUGGUCGGGCUUUGAGUCUUACUCAAUUUCACACCUUGUAACAUAGCCAAGAACUCUUUCUUUGACUGUUCCAAUUUUUGAACCACUUCAAAAUAUUGUCAAGGUAUGUACUCAUUGAAAAAAAUUAUCAAGCGUCUUGAUCUAUCUCUAUAGAUCUUGAUGCUUAAUAUGUAAGCAGCUUCACUGAGGUCUUUCUUUGAAAAACUUCUUUCAAACACUCCUUUAUGCUUUGCAGAAUAAUUCUACAUUAUUUCCGAUCAACAAUAUGUCAUUCACAUAUACUUAUCAGAAAUGCUAUAGUGCUCCCACUCACUUUCUUGUAAAUACAGGCUUCACCGCAAGUCUAUAUAAAACUAUAUGCUUUGAUCAUCUCAUCAAAGCGCAUAUUCCAACUCCGAGAUGCUUGCACCAGUCCAUAUUUAAUAAAUCCAUUAAGGAAUGCAGUUUUUUUAUCCAUUUGCCAGAUUUCAUAAAAUGCGGCAAUUGCUAAUAUGAUUCGGACAUACUUAAGCAUAGAUACGAGUGAGAAACUCUCAUCGUAGUCAACACCUUGAACUUGUCGAAACCUUUUGCGACAAUUCUAGCUUUGUGGAUUGUAACACUACUAUCAGCGUCCGUCUUCCUCUUGAAGAUCCAUUUAUUUUCUAUGGUUUGCCGAUCAUCAGGCAAAUCCAUCAAAGUCCAUACUUUGUUCUCAUACAUGGAUCAUAUCUCAGAUUUCAUGGCCUCAAAACAUUUCGCGGAAUCUGGGCUCAUCAUCGCUUCCUCAUAGUUCGUAGGCUCGUCAUGGCCAAGUAACAUGACCUCUAGAACUGGAUUACCGUACCACUCUGGUGCGGAUCUCACUCUGGUUUUACCUACGAGGUUCGGUAGUAACUUGAUCCGAAGUUACAUGAUCAUCAUCAUUAGCUUCCUCACUAAUCGGUAUAGUAGUCACAGGAACAGAUUUCUGUGAUGAACUACUUUCCAAUAAGGUAGCAGGUACAGUUACCUCAUCAAGUUCUACUUUCCUCCCACUCACUUCUUUCGAGAGAAACUCCUUCUCUAGAAAGGAUCCAUUCUAAGCAACGAAUAUCUUGCCUUCGGAUCUGUGAUAGAAGGUGUACCCAACUGUCUCCUUUGGGUAUCCUAUGAAGACACAUUUCUCCGAUUUGGGUUUGAGCUUAUCAAGAUGAAACUUUUUCACAUAAGCAUCACAACCCCAAACUUUAAGAAACGACAACUUUGGUUUCUUGUUAAACCACAGUUCAUAUAGUGUCGUCUCAACGGAUUUAGAUGGUGCCCUAUUUAAAGUGAAUGCAGCUGCCUCUAAUGCAUAACCCCAAAAUGAUAGUGGUAAAUCGGUAAGAAACAUCAUAGAUUGCACUAUAUCCAAUAAAGUACGGUUAUGAUGUUCGGACACACCAUUAUGCUAUGGUGUUCCAGGUGGCAUGAGUUUGUGAAACUAUUCCACAUUGUUUUAAUUGAAGACCAAAUUCGUAACUCAAAUAUUCGUCUCUGCGAUUAGAUCGUAGAAACUUUAUUUUCUUGUCACGAUGAUUUUCCACUUCACUCUGAAAUUCUUUGAACUUUUCAAAUGUUUCAGACUUAUGUUUCAUCAAGUAGAUAUACCCAUAUCUGCUCAAAUCAUCUAUGAAGGUCAGAAAAUAAUGAUACCCACCGCGAGCCUUAACACUCAUCAGAUCGCAUACAUCAGUAUGUAUUAUUUCCAAUAAGUCAGUUGCUCGCUCCAUUGUUCCGGAGAACAGAGUCUUUAGUCAUCUUGCCCAUAAGGCAUGGUUCGCAAGCACCAAGUGAUUCAUAAUCAAGUGAUUCCAAAAUCCCAUCAGCAUGGAGUUUCUUCAAGCGCUUUACACCAAUAUGACCUAAAUGGCAGUGCCACAAAUAAGUUGCACUAUCAUUAUUAACUUUGCAUCUUUUGGUUUCAAUAUUAUGAAUAUGUGUAUCACUACGAUCGAGAUCCAAUGAACCAUUUUCAUUGGGUGUGUAACCAUAUAAGGCUUUAUUCAUGUAAAUAGAACAACAAUUUAUUCUCUUACUUAAAUGAAUAACCGUAUUACAAUAAACAUGAUCAAAUCAUAUUCAUGCUCAACGCAAACACCAAAUAACACUUAUUUAGGUUCAACACUAAUCCCGAAAGUAUAGGGAGUGUGCGAUGAUGAUCAUAUCAAUCUUGGAACCACUUCCAACACACAUCGUCACUUCACCCUUAGCUAGUCUCUGUUUAUCCUGCAACUCCCGUUUCGAGUUACUAAUCUUAGCAACUGAACUAGUAUCUAAUACUGAGGGGUUGCUAUAAACACUAGUAAAGUACACAUCAAUAACAUGUAUAUCAAAUAACUUAUGUUCACUUUGCCAUCCUUCUUAUCCGCCAAUCACUUGGGGUAGUUCCGCUUCCAGUGACCAGUCCCUUUGUAGUAGAAGCACUUAGUCUCAGGCUUAGGACCAGACUUGGGCUUCUUCACUUGAGCAGCAACUUGCUUGUUGUUCUUCUUGAAGUUCCCCUUUUUUCCUUUGCCCUUUUCUUGAAACUAGUGGUCUUGUCUACCAUCAACACUUGAUGUUUUUCUCGAUUUCUACCUUCGUCAAUUUCAGCAUUACGAAGAGCUUGGGAAUCAUUUCCGUUAUCCCUUGCAUAUCAUAGUUCAUCAUGAAGUUCUACUAACUUGGUGAUAGUGACUAGAGAAUUCUGUCAAUCACUAUUUUAUCUGGAAGAUUAACUCCCACUUGAUUCAAGCGAUUGUAGUACCCAGACAAUCUGAGCACAUGCUCACUAGUUGAGCGAUUCUCCUCCAUCUUUUGGCUAUAGAACUUGUUGGAGACUUCAUAUCUCUCAACUCGGGUAUUUGAUUGAAAUAUUAACUUCAACUCCUGGAACAUCUUAUAUGGUCCAUGACGUUCAAAACGACUUUGAAGUCCCGAUUCUAAGCCAUUAAGCAUGGUGCACUAAACUAUCAAGUAGUCAUCAUAUUGAGCUAGCCAAACGUUCAUAACGUCUGCAUCUGCUCCUGCAAUAGGUAUGUCACCUAGCGGUGCAUCAAGGACAUAAUUCUUCUGUGCAGCAAUGAGGAUAAACCUAAGAUCACGGAUCCAAUCCGCAUCAUUGCUACUAAUAUCUUUCAACACAAUUUUCUCUAGGAACAUAUCAAAAUAAACAUAUGAAAGCAACAAUGCGAGCUAUUGAUCUACAACAUAAUUUGCAAAAUACUACUAGGACUAAGUUCAUAAUAAAUUUAAGUUCAAUUAAUCAUAUUACUUAAGAACUCCCACUUAGAUAGACAUCCCUCUAAUCAUCUAAGUGAUCAUGUGAUCCAAAUCAACUAAACCAUGUCCGAUCAUCACGUGAGAUGGAGUAGUUUUCAAUGGUGAACAUCACUAUGUUGAUCAUAUCUACUAUAUGAUUCACGCUCGACCUUUCGGUCUCUAGUGUUCCGAGGCCAUAUCUGUAUAUGCUAGGCUCGUCAAGUUUAACCUGAGUAUUCCGCGUGUGCAACUGUUUUGCACCCGUUGUAUUUGAACGUAGAGCCUAUCACACCCGAUCAUCACGUGGUGUCUCAGCACGAAGAACUUUCGCAACGGUGCAUACUCAGGGAGAACACUUAUACCUUGAUAAUUUAGUGAGAGAUCAUCUUAUAAAGCUACCGUCAAUCAAAGCAAGAUAAGAUGCAUAAAAGAUAAACAUCACAUGCAAUCAAUAUAUGUGACAUGAUAUGGCCAUAAUCAUCUUGCGCCUUUGAUCUCCAUCUCCAAAGUACCAUCAUGAUCUCUAUCGUCACCGGCAUGACACCAUGAUCUCCAUCAUCUUGAUCUAUAUCAAUGUGUCAUCACAUGGUCGUCUCGCCAACUAUUGCUCUUGUAACUAUUGCUAUCGCACAGCGAUAAAGUAAAGCAAUUAUUUGGCGCUUGCAUCUUAUGCAAUAAAAGGACAACCAUAAGGCUUCUGCCAGUUGCCGAUAACUUCAACAAAACAUGAUCAUCUCAUACAAGAACUUAUAUCUCAUCACAUCUUGACCAUAUCACAUCACAACAUGCCCUGCAAAAACAAGUUAGACGUCCUCUACUUUGUUGUUGCAAAUUUUACGUGGCUGCUACGGGCUUAAGCAAGAACCAAUCUUACCUACGUAUCACUACGAUAGUUUGUCAAGUUGGUGCUGUUUUAACCUUCGCAAGGACCGGGCGUAGCCACACUCGGUUCAACUAAAGUUGGAGAAACUGACACCCGCCAGCCACCUGUGUGCAAAGCACGUCGGUAGAACCAGUCUCUCGUAAGCAAGGUUGUCAGAAUCGCGAUUCUGUUAUACGAUUCUACGACUUUACGAUCCAAACUAAUCCCUCUGAUUCUAUGAUUUUAGUUAAUAGAAUCUACGUUUUUACGAUCCUGAUAGUGAGGAUUCCACGAUUUGCGAUCCUACCAUCAGAGCUCCGAUAUGAUUCAAAAUCGUGAUUCUGACAACCUUGCGUGUAAGCGUACGCAUAAUGUCGGUCCGGGCCGCUUCAUCCAACAAUACCGCCAAACCAAAGUAUGACAUGCUGGUAAGAAGUAUGACUUAUAUCGCCCACAACUCACUUGUGUUCUACUCGUGCAUAUAACAUCAACACAUAAAACCUAGGCUCGGAUGCCACUGUUGGGGAACGUAGUAAUUUCAAAUUUCCUACGCACACGCAAGAUCAUGGUGAUGCAUAGCAACGAGAGGGGAGAGUAUUGUCUACGUACCCUCGUAGACCGGCAACGGAAGUGUUGACACAACGUAGAGGAAGUAGUCGUACGUCUUCCCGAUCCGACCGAUCCAAGUACUGAACGUACGGCACCUCCGAGUUCUGCACACGUUCAACUCGAUGACGAUCCCCGGACUUCGAUCCAGCAAAGUGUCGGGGAAGAGUUCCGUCAGCACGACGGCAUGGUGACGAUCUUGAUGUUCUACCGUCACAGGGCUUUGCCUAAGCACCGCUACAAUAUUAUCGAGGAGUAUAGUGGAAGGGGGCACCGCACACGGCUAAGAAAACGAUCACGAGGAUCAACUUGUGUCUCCAUGGGGUGCCCCCUGCCCCCGUAUAAAAAGGAGCAAGGGGGGAGGAGGCCGGCCCUAGGAGGGGCGCGCCAGGGGAGUAGGAUUCCUACUCCUAGUUGGAGUAGGUUUCCUACUUUCCUAGUCCAACUAGGAGAAGGGGGGAAAGGGGGGAAGAGGGGAAGGAAGGGAGAGAGGGGCCGCGCCCCAAACCCCUUGUCCAAUUCGGACUGGGCUUGGGAGGAGCGCGCGCCACCUCCUGGUCCUUUCCACUAAGGCCCAUUAAGGCCCAUUGCUUCUUCCUUGUAUUCCCGUAACUCCUCGGUUCCUCCGAAAAUACCCGAAUCACUCGGAACCUUUCCGAUGUCCGAAUAUAGUCGUCCAAUAUAUCGAUCUUUACGUCUCGGCCAUUUCAAGACUUCUCGUCAUGUCCAUGAUCUCAUCCGGGACUCCGAACUCCUUCGGUACAUCAAAACUCAUCAACUCAUAAUAUAACUGUCAUCGAAACCUUAAGCGUGCGGACCCUACGGGUUCGAGAACAAUGUAGACAUGACCGAGACACGUCUCCGGUCAAUAACCAAUAGCGGAACCUGGAUGCCCAUAUUGGCUCCUACAUAUUCUAUGAAGAUCUUUAUCGGUCAGACCGCAUAACAACAUACGUUGUUCCUUUUGUCAUCGGUAUGUUACUUGCCCGAGAUUCGAUCGUCGGUAUCUCAAUACCUAGUUCAAUCUCAUUACCGGCAAGUCUGUUUACUCGUUCCGUAAUACAUCAUCUCACAACUAACUCAUUAGUUGCAAUUCUUGCAAGGAUUAUGUGAUGUGCAUUACCGAGAGGGCCCAGAGAUACCUCUUCAACAAUCGGAGUGACAAAUCCUAAUCUCGAAAUACGCCAACCUAACAUGUACCUUUGGAGAUACCUGUAGAGCUCCUUUAUAAUCACCCAGUUAUGUUGUGACGUUUGGUGGCACACAAAGUGUUCCUCCGGUAAACGGGAGUUGCAUAAUCUCAUAGUCAUAGGAACAUGUAUAAGUCAUGAAGAAAGCAAUAGCAACAUACUAAAUGAUCAAGUGCUAUGCUAACAGAAUGGGUCAAGUCAAUCACAUCAUUCUCCUAAUGAUGUGAUCCCGUUAAUCAAAUGACAACUCAUGUUUAUGGUUAGGAAACAUAACCAUCUUUCAUCAACGAGCUAGUCAAGUAGAGGCAUACUAGUGACACUAUGUUUGUCUAUGUAUUCACACAUGUAUUAUGUUUCCGGUUAAUACAAUUCUAGCAUGAAUAAUAAACAUUUAUCAUGAUAUAAGGAAAUAAAUAAUAACUUUAUUAUUGCCUCUAGGGCAUAUUUCCUUCAAUGUCAACAAUAGUAGUUCAUGAAAACUCACGUCCAAUUAGCCAUAUAUACCGGGAUCUUUCCAACAUACUGUGCUUGCCAAAGGAUAAAAUGUAAAAAGGAAGGGUGAAGAUCACCAUGACUCUUAUGCAAGGUAGGAGAUAAAAGUAAAAGAUAGGCCCUUCGCAGAGGGAAGCAGAGGUUGUCAUGCGCUUUUAUGGUUGGAUGCACAAAAUCUUAAUGCUAAAGAACGUCACUUUAUAUUGCCACUUGUGAUAUGGAUCUUUAUUAUGCAGUCUGUCGCUUUUAUUUCUUCCAUAUCACACGAUCUUAUAAAGCUUAUUUUCUCCCACACUAAUAAGUCAUACAUAUUUAGAGAGAAAGUUUUCUUGCUUGCACCGAUGACAACUUACUUGGAGGAUCUUACUUAAUCCAUAGGUAGGUAUGGUGGACUCUCAUGGCAAAACUGGUUUAAGGGUAUUUGGAAGCACAAGUAGUAUCUCUACUUGGUGCGAUGAAUUUGGCUAGCAUGAGGGGAAAGGCAAGCUCAACCAUGUUGGAUGAUCCAUGACAAUAUAAUUUAUCUCAGAUGUAAGAAAACAUAACCCAUUAUGUUGUCUUCCUUGUCCAACGUCAACUCUUUAGCAUGUCAUAUUUUAAUGAGUGCUCACAAUCAUAAAAGAUGUCCAAGAUAGUGUAUUUAUAUGUGAAUACCUCUAUUUCUUUAUUACUUCCUAUUAAUUGCAACGAUGACCAAAUCUAUGUUUGUCAACUCUCAACAACUUUUAUUCAUCAUACUUUUUCUAUGUGAGCUCAUUACUCUCCGUAAGAUCCAUAUGAUCUCUUUUAUUUCUUUCUAUUCUUUCUCUUUUCUUUUAUUCACUCAAGAUCAUGGCAAAAUACUCAAGCCCUUGACUCAACACUAAUCUUUAUUAUAUAUAUAGCUCACGGACUCGAUUACAUAGAAGGAUCAUAAAGCAAAACUCACAACUAGAUCAUACUAAAAAGCUUUAUGCUACUAGAUCAAAAUAUUAUCAAAAGGAUCGAACUAAGAAAAACGGUAAGAUAAAAGUGAUGGUGAUACGAUACCGGGGGACUCCCCCAAGCUUGGCAGUUGCCAAGGGGAGUGCCCAUACCAAAUACUCAAUUCUUCUUUUGUUGGUGAAGAAGGUGGAGUUGUUGAUGAUGGAUAGUCGCACAUCGAGCGUAGGAGGUCUUCUAACUUGCGGAUAAUGCCUUUGAGUGUGAUGAUAUGCUCCUUCAACAAAAUAUUUUCACGUGUGAGAUACUUAUUUUGUAUACGAGCUAACUCAAUCAUCUUGAAAGCUUCGAUCUCAGUUGGGGUAAGAAGAUUGCGAUCAAGUUGAAGGAUGUCUUCUGUGGCCAGAACUUGGUCCUCCGUGGCCUUCUUGAUCCUUUCAUCAUUGUUGAUCUCCAUGGGUUCUUCUCUCUUCAGCUCUAUGUUCAUUAGCCAAGCAUCAUUGCCCUCAUGGUUGGAGGAGGAGGGAGAUGACAUAAUGCCUGGCCUUGAUAACCCUGACAAAAAAUAGCUCGAAACAAAGACAAGAGAUAUUUGCGUGAUACGGGAGUCAAAACCCCUGGGGGAUUAUAUAAUGAAUUUUUACCGACCAAAUUACAUAACGUGUAAGAAAACGGAGUCCGAAGAGCACACGAGGUGCCCACAAGGUAGGGGGCGCGCCCAGUAGGGUAGGGCGCGCCCUCCACCCUCGUGUCCUUCCCGGACUGCUUCUUAUUUUUCUAUUUUUCUAAAUAUUCCAAAACGGAGAAAUAUUGCCUUAAAAACUGUUUUGGAGUUGGUUUACUUACCGUACCACAUACCUAUUCCUUUUCGGAGUCUGAAAUGUUCUGGAAAGUGUCCCUUAUGUAUUCCUCCGGGGUUACGAUUUCAAUAACAUUGGUUUCAACAUUUAUGGGAUUAACUGAGAUAUAAUGUUUGAUUCUUUGACCGUUCACCACCUUCGGAUUUGUGCCUUCGAAGUUGUUAAUUUUUAUGGCACCGGAACAAUAGACCUCCUCGAUAAUGUAAGGACCUUCCCAUUUAGAGAGAAGUUUUCCUGCAAAAAAUCUUAAACGGGAGUUGUAUAGCAAUACAUAAUCACCUACAUUAAACUCACGCUUUUGUAUCCUUUUAUCAUGCCAUCUUUUAACUUUUUCUUUAAACAACUUGGCAUUUUCGUAGGCUUGGGUUCUCCAUUCACCGAGUGAGCUAAUAUCAAAUAACCUCUUCUCACCGACAAGUUUAAAAUCAUAAUUGAGCUCUUUAAUAGCCCAAUAUGCCUUGUGUUCUAGUUCGAGAGGUAAGUGGCAUGCUUUUCCAUAAACCAUUUUAUACGGAGACAUACCCAUAGGGUUUUUAUAUGCAGUUCUAUAGGCCCAUAAUGCAUCAUCAAGUUCCUUGGACCAAUUCUUUCUAGACCUAUUGACAGUCUUCUGCAAAAUUAAUUUGAGCUCUCUAUUACUCAAUUCUACUUGACCACUAGACUGUGGGUGAUAAGGGGAUGCAAUUCUAUGAUUAACAUCAUACUUAGCAAGCAUUUUACAGAAAGCACCAUGAAUAAAAUGUGAACCACCAUCAGUCAUUAAAUAUCUAGGGACUCCAAAUCUUGGAAAAAUAACUUCUUUAAGCAUUUUAAUAGAAGUGUUAUGAUCAACACUACUAGUUGGAAUAGCUUCUACCCACUUAGUAACGUAAUCAACAUCAACUAAAAUAUGUGUAUAACCAUUAGAGGCAGGAAAAGGUCCCAUAUAGUCAAAGCCCCAAACAUCAAAUGGUUCAACAACGAGUGAAUAGUUCAUAUGCAUUUCUUGAUGUCUACUAAUAUUACCAAUUCUUUGACAUUCAUCACAAGACAAGACAAACUUACGGGCAUCCUUGAAGAGAGUAGGCCAAUAAAAACCGGAUUGCAAUACCUUGUGUGCAGUUCUAUCUCCAGCAUGGUGUCCCCCAUAAGCCUUAGAGUGACACUUGCGUAGGAUAUGUUCCUGUUCAUGCUCAGGUACACAACAUCUAAUAACACCAUCUACUCCUUCUUUAUAAAGAUGUGGGUGAUACGUCUCCAACGUAUCUAUAAUUUUUGAUUCCUCCAUGCUAUAUUAUCUACUGUUUUGGACUAUAUUGGGCUUUAUUUUCCACUUUUAUAUUAUUUUUGGGACUAAUCUAUUAACCGGAGGCCCAGCCCAGAAUUGCUGUUUUUUGCCUAUUUCAGUGUUUCGAAGAAACAGAAUAUCAAACGGAGUCCAAAUAGAAAAAUCCUUUUUGGAACGUGAUUUUCUUCUUGGAUAAGACCCAGGAGACUUGGACCCUACUCCAAGAAGUACCGGAGGUGGUCACGAGGGUAGGGGGCGCCCCCCCUACAGGGCGCGCCCCCUACCUCAUGGGCCCCUCGGUGCUCCACCGACGUACUCCUUCCUCAUAUAUAUACCCACGUACCCCCAAACGAUCAGAACAAGAGCCAAAAACCUAAUUCCAUCGCCGCAACUUUCUGUAUCCACGAGAUCCCAUCUUGGGGCCUGUUCCGAAGCUCCACCGGAGAGGGCCGUCAUCACGGAGGGCUUCUACAUCAUCAUAGCCCCUCCGAUGAAGUGUGAGUAGUUUACCUCAGACCUUCGGGUCCAUAGUUAGUAGCUAGAUGGCUUCUUCUCUCUUUUUGGAUCUCAAUACAAUGUUCUCCCCCUCUCUUGUGGAGAUCUAUUCGAUGUAAUCUUCUUCUUUUGCGGUGUGUUUGUUGAGAUCGAUGAAUUGUGGGUUUAUGAUCAAGUCUAUCUAUGAACAAUAUUUGAAUCUUCUCUGAAUUCUUUUAUGUAUGAUUGGUUAUCUUUGCAAGCCUCUUCGAAUUAUCUGUUUGAUUUGGCCAACUAGAUUGGUAGUUCUUGCCAUGGGAGAAGUGCUUAGCUUUGGGUUCGAUCUUGCGGUGUUCUUUCCCAGUGACAGAAGGGGCAGCAAGACACGUAUUGUAUCGUUGCCAUCAAGGAUAACAAGAUGGGGUUUAUUUCAUAUUGCAUGAAUUUAUCUCUCUACAUCAUGUCAUCUUGCUUAAAGUGUUACUCUGUUUUUAACUUAAUACUCUAGAUGCAUGCUGGAUAGCGGUCGAUGAGUGGAGUAAUAGUAGUAGAUGCAGAAUCGUUUCGAUCUACUUGUCACGGACGUGAUGCCUAUAUACAUGAUCAUGCCUAGAUAUUCUCAUAACUAUGCUCAAUUCUGUCAAUUGCUCAACAGUAAUUUGUUCACCCACCGUAGAAAACUUAUGCUCUCGAGAGAAGCCACUAGUGAAACCUAUGGCCCCCGGGUCUAUUCUCAUCAUAUCAAUCUCCAUCACUUUAAUCUUGUUUUGUUUUUAAUUUGCCUUUUACUUUUCACUUUGCAUAUUUAUAUCAAAAAUACCAAAAAUAGUAUCUAUCGGAUCUCACUUCCAUAAGUGACUGUGAAGGGAUUGACAACCCCUAAUCGCGUUGGUUGCGUUGAGCUCUUUGUGUUGUGUAGGUACGAGGGACUUGCGCGUGGCCUCCUACUGGAUUGAUACCUUGGUUCUCAAAAACUGAGGGAAAUACUUACGCUACUCUGCUGCAUCAUCCCUUCCUCUUCGGGGAAAACCAACGCAAGCUCAAGACGUAGCAAGAAGGAUUUCUGGCGCCGUUGCCGGGGAGUCUACGCAAAAAGUCAACAUACUAAGUACCCAUCACAAUCCCUAUCUCCCACAUUACAUUAUUUGCCAUUUGCCUCUCGUUUUCCUCCCCCCAAUUCACCCUUGCCGUUUUAUUCGCCCUUUCUCUCCCUAUCCUCCCUCUCUAUUUGCCUCUUUUUGCCCAUUUGGUUUUGUUUGCUCGUGUGUUAGAUUGCUUGUUUGUCGCGAUGGCUCAAGAUACUACCAAAUUGUGUGACUUCACCAAUACCAACAAUAAUGAUUUUCUUAGCUUGCCCCUCUUGCCAAUACUGAAUCUUGUGAAAUCAAUACUGCUUUGUUGAAUCUUGUUAUGAAAGAUCAAUUCACUGGCCUUCCUAGUGAAGAUGCCGCUACUCAUCUGAAUAGCUUCGUUGAUUUAUGUGAUAUGCAAAAUAAAAAAGAUGUCGAUAAUGAUGUCGUUAAAUUGAAGCUAUUUCCUUUUUCGCUUAGAGAUCGUGCUAAAGCUUGGUUUUCGUCUUUGCCUAAAAAUAGUAUUGAUUCUUGGAACAAGUGCAAAGAUGCUUUUAUCUCUAAGUAUUUUCCUCCCGCUAAGAUCAUCUCUCUUAGAAACGCUAUUAUGAAUUUUAAGCAACUUGAUCAUGAACAUGUUGCACAAGCUUGGGAGAGAAUGAAAUUAAUGAUACGUAAUUGCCCUACUCAUGGUUUAAAUUUGUGGAUGAUUAUACAAAUUUUUUAUGCCGGAUUGAAUUUUGCUUCUAGAAAUCUUUUAGAUUCGGCCGCGGGAGGCACUUUUAUGGAAAUCACUUUAGGAGGUGCUACUAAACCCCUAGAUAAUAUUAUGGUUAAUUAUUCUCAAUGGCAUACUGAAAGAUCUUCUAAUAAAAAAGUGCAUGCGAUAGAAGAAAUCAAUGUUUUGAGUGGAAAGAUGGAUGAACUUAUGAAAUUAUUUGCUACUAAGAGUGUUUCUUAUGAUCCUAAUGAUAUGCCUUUGUCUACCUUGAUUGAGAAUAACAAUGAAUCUAUGGAUGUGAAUUUUGUUGGUAGGAAUAAUUUUGGUAACAACGCUUAUAGAGGGAAUUUUAAUCCUAGGCUUUAUCCUAGUAAUCCUUCUAAUAAUUAUGGGAAUUCCUACAACAACUCUUAUGGAAAUUAUAAUAAGAUGCCCUCUGAUUUUGAAUCUAAUAUUAAAGAAUUUAUUUCUUCGCAAAAGAAUUUUAAUGCUAUGAUUGAAGAAAAAUUGCUUAACAUUGAUGAUUUGGCUAGGAACGUUGAUAGAAUUGCUCUUGAUGUUGAUGCUUUGAAACUUAGAUCUAUUCCACCUAAGCAUGAUAUUAAUGAGUCUCUAAAAGCCAUGAGAAUUUCAAUUGAUGAGUGUAAAGAAAGAACUGCUAGGAUGCGUGCUUCCAAAGAUGCCUUUUUAAAGCGUGUUCUUCUAAUUCUUAUGAAAAUAGAGAUGAAGAUCUAAAAGUUAUUGAUGUGUCCCCUAUCAAAUCUUUGUUUUGCAAUAUGAAUCUUGAUGAAACUGAAUAUGAUCUUCCUUUACCUAGAAGGCGUUCCAAAAAUUCGGAGUAUUUAGAUCUUUAUGAUGAAAUUGAUGAAAGUGGGAUUGAAAGAAAUAAAAAUCUAGAUGUUGCUAAACCCACUAUAUUGGAUUUCAAGGAAUUUAAUUAUGAAAGUUUCUCUUUGAUUGAUUGUAUUUCUUUGUUGCAAUCCGUGUUAAAUUCUCCGCAUGCUUAUAGUCAAAAGAAAGCCUUCACCGAACAUAUUGUUGAUGCCUUGAUGCAAUCUUAUGAAGAAAAAGUUGAGUUGAAAGUCUCUAUCCCUAGAAAACUCUAUGAUGAGUGGGAACCAACUAUCAAAAUUAAAAUUAAAGAUCAUGAGUUUUAUGCUUUGUGUGAUUUGGGUGCUAGUGUCUCCACUAUCCCCAAAACUUUGUGUGCUUUGCUAGAUUUCCGCGAUCUUGAUGAUUGCCCUCUAAACUUGCAUCUUGCGGAUUCCACUAUUAAGAAACCUAUGGGAAGAAUUAAUGAUGUUCUUAUUGUUGCAAAUAGGAAUUAUGUGCCUGUAGAUUUCAUUGUUCUUGAUAUAGAUUGCAAUCCUUCUUGCCCUAUUAUUCUUGGUAGACCUUUCCUUAGAACGGUUGGUGCGAUUAUUGAUAUGAAGGAAGGGAAUAUUAGAUUCCAAUUUCCAUUAAAAAAGGGCAUGAAACACUUUCCAAGAAAGAAAAUAAAAUUGCCAUAUGAAACCAUCAUGAGAGCCACUUAUGGAUUGCCUUCCAAAGAUGGCAAUACCUAGAUCUAUCCUCGCUUUUAUGCCUAGCUAGGGGCGUUAAACGAUAGCGCUUGUUGGGAGGCAACCCAAUUUUAUUUUUUGUUUUUUGUGUUUUUCUUCUGUUAGGUAAUAAAUAACCCAUCUACCCUCUGUUUGGAUGUGGUUUUGUGUUUUAAUUAGUGUUUGUGCCAAGCUAGACCUAUUGGAUCUUCUUGGAUGAUAGUUAUUUGAUCUUGCUGUAAUUUCCAGAAACUUUGCGUUCAGUGCCCGAAUUACUAAAAAUCAUCAGAAAGUGAUAAAAUACUGAUUCCAAUUGCUACUGAUCAAUAAACAAAUUAUAUAGGUCGUCUAAUUUUGGUAGACGUUUUGGAGUUCCAAAAGUUUGCGUUAGUUACAGAUUACUACAGACUGUUCUGUUUUUGACAGAUUCUGUUUUUCGUGUGUUGUUUGCUUAUUUUGAUGAAUCUAUGGUUAGUAAAAUAGUUUAUAAUCCAUAGAGAAGUUGGAAUACAGUAGGUUUAACACCAAAAUAAAUAAAGAAUGAGUUCAUUACAGUACCUUGGAGUGGUUUUAUGUUUUCUUUCUCUAACGGAGCUCACGAGAUUUCUAUUGAGUUUUGUGUUGUGAAGUUUUCAAGUUUUGGGUGAGUUCUUUUGAUGGAUUAUGGAACAAGGAGUGGCAAGAGACUAAGCUUGGGGAUGCCCAUGGCACCCUCAAGAUAAUCCAAGGACACCAAAAAGUCAAAGCUUGGGGAUGCCCCAGAAGGCAUCCCCUCUUUCGUCCAUUUCCAUCGGUAAUUUACUUGGAGCUAUAUUUUUAUUCACCAACAUGAUAUGUGUUUUGCUUGGAGCGUCUUGUAUUAUUUGUGUCUUUGUUUGUUAGUAUGCUACAAUCAUCCUUGCUGUACACACCUUUUGAGAGAGUCAUCUAUGAAUUGAAAUUUGAUAGAACACUCUAUGUGCUUCACUUAUAUCUUUUGAGCUAUGUAGUCUUGCUCUACGUGCUUCACUUAUAUCUUUUGAGCGUUAUAAUUUUGCUCUAUGUGCUUCACUUAGAUCUUUUAGAGCACGGUGGUGGUUUGUUUUAAAUAAACUAUUGAUCUCUCAUGCCUCACUUAAAUUAUUUUGAGUCUUAAUAGCAUGGUAAUUUGCUUAAUAUAAAUAUGCUUGGUGUUCAAGAUAUGUGAAAUUUUCUUUUGAAGUGCGUUGAAUACUAAGAGAAGAUUGAAGCAUGAUAAUUGUUUUGAGAUAUGGAGGUGAUAAUAUUAGAGUUAUGCGAGUUUAGUAGUUGUGAAUUUAAAGAAUACUUGUGUUAAAGUUUGUGAUUCCCGUAGCAUGCACGUAUGGUGAACCGUUAUGUGAUGAAGUCGGAGCAUAAUUUAUUUAUUGAUUGUCUUUCUUAUGAGUGACGGUCGGGGACGGGCGAUGGUCUUUUCCUACCAAUCUAUCCCCCUAGGAGCAUGCGCGUAAUACUUUGCUUUGAUAACUUCUAGAUUUUUGCAAUAAGUAUAUGAGUUCUUUAUGACUAAUGUUGAGUCCAUGGAUUAUAUGCACUUUUUCCCAUCCUUCCACAAUUGCUAGCCUCUCUAAUACCACACACCUUUCGCUGGUAUCAUACACCCACCAUAUACCUUCCUCAAAACAGCCACUAUACCUACCUAUCAUGGCAUUUCCAUAGCCAUUCCGAGAUAUAUUGCCAUGCAACUUUCCACCUUUCUGUUUAUUAUGACACGCUCCAUCAUUGUCAUAUUGCUAGCAUGAUCAUGUAGUUGACAUCGUAUUUGUGGCAAAGCCACCAUUCAUAAUUCUUUCAUACAUGUCACUCUUGAUUCAUUGCAUAUCCCGGUACACCGCUGGAGGCAUUCAUAUAGAGUCAUAUUUGUUCUAAGUAUCGAGUUGUAAUUGUUGAGUUGUAAGAAAAAUAAAAGUGUGAUGAUCAUCAUUUUCUAGAGCAUUGUCCCAAGUGAGGAAAGGAUGAUGGAGACUAUGAUUCCCCCAUAAGUUGGGAUGAGACUCCGGACAAAAAAAUAGGCCAUAAAAAAAGAGAAAAGGCCCAAAUAAAAAAAUGAGAGAAAAAAGAGAGAAGGGACAAUGUUACUAUCCUUUUACCACACUUGUGCUUCAAAGUAGCACCAUGAUCUUCAUGAUAGAGAUUCUCUCGUUAUGUCACUUUCAUAUACUAGUGGGAAUUUUUCAUUAUAGAACUUGGCUUGUAUAUUCCAAUGAUGGGCUUCCUCAAAUUGCCCUAGGUCUUCGUGAGCAAGCGAGUUGGAUGCACACCCACUUAGUUUCUUUUGAUGAGCUUUCAUAUACUUAUAGCUCUAGUGCAUCCGUUGCAUGGCAAUUCCUACUCACUCACAUUGAUAUCUAUUGAUGGGCAUCUCCAUAGCCCGUUGAUACAAUUAGUUGAUGUGAGACUAUCUUCCCCUCUUUUUGUCUUCUCCACAACCACCCUUCUAUUCCACAUAGUGCUAUGUCCAUGGCUCACGCUCAUGUAUUGCGUGAAGAUUGAAAAAGUUUUGAAAAAGUUAGAGUAUGAAACAAUUGCUUGGCUUGUCAUCGGGGUUGUGCAUGAUUUAAAUACUUUGUGUGGUGAAGAUAGAGCAUAGCCAGACUAUAUGAUUUUGUAGGGAUAACUUUCUUUGGCCAUGUUAUUUUGAGAAGACAUAAUUACUUUAUUAGUAUGCUUGAAGUGUUAUUAUUCUUUAUGUCAAUAUGAACUUUUGUCUUGAAUCUUUCUAAUCUGAAUAUCCAUACCACAAUUAAGAAAUUUUGCAUUGAAAUUAUGCCAAGUAGCACUCCGCAUCAAAAAUUCUCUUUUAUCAUGUACCUACUCGAGGACGAGCAGGAAUUAAGCUUGGGGAUGCCUGAUACGUCUCCAACGGAUCUAUAAUUUUUGAUUGCUCAAUGCUAUAUUAUCUACUGUUUUGGACUAUAUUGGGCUUUAUUUUCCACUUUUAUAUUAUUUUUGGGACUAAUCUAUUAAUCGGAGGCCCAACCCAGAAUUGCUAUUUUUUUGCCUAUUCCAGUGUUUCAAAGAAACAGAAUAUCAAACGGAUUCCAAACAGAAAAAUCCUUUUUGGAACGUGAUUUCUUCUCGGAUAAGACCCAGGAGACUUGGACCCUACUCCAAGAAGUACCGGAGGCGUUCACGAGGGUAGGGGGCGCGCCCCCCCUACAGGGUGCGCCCCCUGCCUCGUGGGCCCCUCGGUGCUCCACCGACGUACUCCUUCCUCCUAUAUAUACCCACGUACCCCCAAAGGAUCAGAACAGGAGCCAAAAACCUAAUUCCACCGCCGCAACUUUCUGUAUCCACGAGAUCCCAUCUUGGGGCCUGUUUCGGAGCUCCGCCGGAGAGGGCCGUCAUCACGGAGGGCUUCUACAUCAUCAUAGCCCCUUCGAUGAAGUGUGAGUAGUUUACCUCAGACCUUCGGGUCCAUAGUUAGUAGCUAGAUGGCUUCUUCUCUCUUUUUGGAUCUCAAUACAAUGUUCUCCCCCUCUCUUGUGGAGAUCUAUUCGAUGUAAUCUUCUUCUAUUGCGGUGUGUUUGUUGAGACCGAUGAAUUGUGGGUUUAUGAUCAAGUCUAUCUAUGAACAAUAUUUGAAUCUUCUCUGAAUUAUUUUAUGUAUGAUUGGUUAUCUUUGCAAGUCUCUUCGAAUUAUCCGUUUGGUUUGGCCAACUAGAUUGGUAGUUCUUGCCAUGGGAGAAGUGCUUAGCUUUGGGUUCGAUCUUGUGAUGUUCUUUCCCAGUGACAGAAGGGGCAGCAAGACAUGUAUUGUAUCGUUGCCAUCGAGGAUAACAAGAUGGGGUUUAUUUCAUAUUGCAUGAAUUUUUCUCUCUACAUCAUGUCAUCUUGCUUAAAGCGUUACUCUGUUUUUAACUUAAUACUCUAGAUGCAUGCUGGAUAGCGGUCCAUGAGUGGAGUAAUAGUAGUAGAUGCAGAAUCGUUUCGAUCUACUUGUCACGGACAUGAUGCCUAUAUACAUGAUCAUGCCUAGAUAUUCUCAUAACUAUGCUCAAUUCUGUCAAUUGCUCAACAAUAAUUUGUUCACCCACCGUAGAAAACUUAUGCUCUCGAGAGAAGCCACUAGUGAAACCUAUGGCCCCCGGGUCUAUUCUCAUCAUAUCAAUCUCCAUCACUUUAAUCUUGUUUUGUUUUUACUUUGCCUUUUACUUUUCACUUUGCAUCUUUAUAUCAAAAAUACCAAAAAUAUUAUCUAUCGGAUCUCACUUCCGUAAGUGAUCGUGAAGGGAUUGACAACCCCUAAUCGCGUUGGUUGCGUUGAGCUCUUUGUGUUGUGUAGGUACGAGGGACUUGCGCGUGGCCUCCUACUGGAUUGAUACCUUGGUUCUCAAAAACUGAGGGAAAUACUUACGCUACUCUGCUGCAUCAUCCCUUCCUCUUCGGGGAAAACCAACGCAAGCUCAAGACAUAGCAGUGGGUCAUCCCAAAAGUAAUGCCUCAAAUCAUAGAAGAACUUUUUCUUUUGCUAGUAUAUGAAACUAGGUGGUAUGAAUUUGGCAACGAUGUAAUUAGCAUAAUCAGCAUACCAUGGAGCAGUAUGAGAAGCAUUUAUGACAUUUAAUUGCUCAUCAGGAAAGCUAUCAUCAAUAGGUAGUGGGUCAUUAAGCACAUUUUCUAACCUAGACAAGUUGUCUGCAAUGGGGUUCUCAGCUCCCUUUCUAUCAACAAUAUGUAAGUCAAAUUCUUGUAGCAAGAGAACCCAUCUAAUAAGUCUAGGUUUAGCAUCUUUCUUUUCCAUAAGAUAUUUAAUAGCAGCAUGAUCAGUGUGAAUAGUUACUUUAGAAUCAACAAUAUAAGGUCUGAACUUAUCACAAGGAAAUACAACUGCUAAGAAUUCUUUUUCAGUAGUAGCAUAAUUUCUUUGAGCAUUAUCUAGGGUUUUACUAGCAUAUUGAAUAACAUUUAAUUUCUUAUCAACUCUUUGCCCUAGAACAGCACCUACAACAUAAUCACUAGCAUCACACAUAAUUUCAAAGGGUAAAUUCCAAUCAGGUGGCUGAACAAUAGGUGCAGAGAUAAAUGCUUUCUUAAGUAUUUCAAAUGCUUCUACACAAUCAUCAUCAAAGACAAAUGGUAUAUCUUUUUGUAAUAAAUUAGUCAGAGGCCGAGAAAUUUUUGAGAAGUCCUUAAUGAACCUCCUAUAAAAUCUGGCGUGACCAAGGAAACUUCUUAUACCUUUGAUGUCCUUGGGGCAUGGCAUCUUUUCAAUAGCAUCAAAUUUGGCUUUAUCAACUUCAAUACCUCUUUCAGAAACUUUAUGCCCCAAGACAAUACCUUCAUUAACCAUAAAGUGACACUUUUCCCAAUUCAGGACAAGAUUAGUUUCUUCACAUCUCUGCAGAACUCGAUCAAGGUUGCUCAAGCAAUCAUCAAAAGAAGAUCCAUAGACGGAAAAAUCGUCCAUGAAAACCUCACAAAUCUUUUCACAAAAGUCAGAGAAUAUAGCCAUCAUGCAUCUUUGAAAGGUAGCAGGUGCAUUACAUAAACCAAAAGGCAUAUGUCUAUAAGCAAAAGUACCAAAAGGGUAGGUAAAAGUAGUCUUCGAUUGAUCCUUGGCUGACACAGGUAUUUGAAAGAAACCAGAAUAACCAUCUAGAAAGCAAAAGUGUGUAUGUUUGGAUAAUCUUUCUAGCAUUUGAUCGAUAAAAGGUAAGGGGUAAUGAUCCUUUUUAGUGGCCUUAUUUAAUUUGCGGAAAUCAAUUACCAUCCUAUAACCUGUAAUAAUUCUUUGAGGAUUCAAUUCAUCUUUAUCAUUAGGAACGACAGUAAUACCUCUCUUCUUAGGGACACAAUGGAUGGGACUUACCCACUGACUAUCAGCAAUGGGAUAGAUUAUACCUGCCUCAAGGAGCUUGAGUAUUUCCUUUCUUACCACUUCUUUCAUUUUAGGAUUCAGUCGUCGUUGAUGAUCACGAACUGGUUUAGCAUCUUCUUCCAAAUUUAUUUUAUGUUGACAUAGAGUGGGACUAAUGCCCUUAAGAUCAUCAAGAGUAUACCCAAUAGCAGCAUGGUUCUUCUUCAGAGUUUUCAAUAAUCUCUCUUCCUCAUGCUCUGAAAGGUUAGCACUAAUAAUAACAGGAUAUAUCUUUUUCUCAUCAAGAUAAGAAUAUUUAAGAGUAUCAGGCAACGGUUUAAGCUCAAACACGGGAUCACCCUUGGGUGCAGGAGGAUCCCCUAGGAUUUCAACAGGCAAAUUGUGUUUCAGAAUAGGUUCCUGUUUAAAGAAUACUUCAUCUAUUUACCUUCUUUCAUUCAUAAACAUAUCAUUUUCAUGGUCUAGCAAAUAUUGUUCUAAAGGAUCACUAGGAGGUACGACAAUAGAAGCAAGACCAAUAAUUUCAUCCUUACUAGGUAAUUCUUCUUCACGAUGUUGUCUACUAAAUUUAGAGAAAUUAAAUUCAUGAGACAUAUCAUCUAAACCGAUAGUAACAACAUCCUUUUUAUAAUCUAUCUUAGCAUUAACAGUGUUCAAGAAGGGUCUACCAAAUAUAAUGGGACAAAACCUAUCUUGUGGGGAACCAAGAACAAGAAAAUCAGUAGGAUAUUUAGUUUUCCCACACAAGACUUCAACAUCUCUAACAAUUCACAUUGGUGAAAUAGUAUCUCUAUUGGCAAGUUUAAUUGUGACAUCAAUAUCUUCCAUCUCAGUAGGUGCAAUAUCAUUCAUAAUUUCUUUGUAUAAGUCGUAAGGUAUUGCACUAGCACUAGCACCCAUAUCACAUAAGACAUGAUAACAAUGAUCUCCUAUUUUAACAGAAAUAACAGACAUGCUUACCACAGGUCUGUUUUUAUCUUUAGCACAAGGUUUAGCAAUUCUAGCAGUCUCAUCAAGGAAAUGAAUAACAUGCCCAUCAAUAUUACCAGACAAGAGAUCUUUAACAAUAGCAAUAUCAGGUUCAACUUUAAUUUGCUCAGAAGGUGUAUAAGUUUAAAUAUUGCUUUUACGAACCACAGUUGAAGCUUUAGCAUAUCCUUUAUCCUAAUAGGGAAAGGUGGUUUCACAACAUAAGAAGUAGGAACAAUAGGAUCAUUAUAAAUGAUAGUCUUUUCUUGAACUUUAAUAGGUGCAGCUACUUUUACUUCUAUGGGAGGAUGAUAUUUAAACACUUCUCCUUGGGGAGAUCAACAUAAGUGGCAAAAGAUUCAUAGAAAGAGGCUACUAUCUCAGAGUCAAGUCCAUAUUUAGUGCUAAAUUUACGGAAAACAUCGGUAUCCAUAAAAGAUUUAACACAAUCAAACUUAGGUGUCAUACCUGACUCCUUACCUUCAUCGAGGUCCCAAUCUUCAUAGUUGCAUUUAAUUCUUUCCAAUAAAUCCCAUCUGAAUUCAAUAGUCUUCGUCAUAAAAGAGCCAACACAAGAAGUAUCGAGCAUGGUGCGAUUGUUAUCAGAAAGCCGAGCAUAUAAAUUUUGAAUAAUCAUCUCUCUUGAGAGCUCAUGAUUGGGGCAUGAAUAUAACAUUGAUUUAAGCCUCCCCCAAGCUUGAGCGACGCUUUAUCCUUCGCGAGGCCAAAAAUUAUAUAUAUAAUUAUGAUCACGAUGAACAAGAUGCAUAGGAUAAAACUUCUCAUGAAAUUCCAAUUUCAAUCGUUUGUAGUUCCAUGACCCUGUAUCAUCACAUAGCCUAUACCAUGUCAAUGCAUCUUCCUUCAAAGAUAAAGGGAAGACCUUCUUCUUAACAACAUCUCUGGGUACACCUGCAAGCUUAAAUAAUCCACAAACUUCAUCCACAUAUAUUAGGUGCUCAUCAGGAUGAAUUGUUCCAUCUCUUGUAAAAGGAUUAGCUAGCAGUUUUUCUAUCAUACCCGAAGGAAUCUCAAAGUAGACAUUUUCAUUUUCAGUAGGUUCAGUAGGUUGAAGAGCAACUCUUUGCUCUACUGGUCCGGGUGAAGAUACCCCAAACAAGCCCCUCAGAGGAUUACUUUCCAUAGUAACAAGUGACAGUAAAUUUCAACACACUAUAUAAAUUUUGCUUACCAAAUUCCACCUACCAAAGGCGCUUCACUCCCCGGCAACGAUGCCAGAAAAGAGUCUUGAUGACCCACAAGUAUAGGGGAUCUAUCGUAGUCCUUUUGAUAAGUAAGAGUGUCGAACCCAACGAGGAGCAGAAGGAAAUGAUAAGCGGUUUCCAGCAAGGUAUUCUAUGCAAGUACUUAAAUAAGUGGUAACAGAUAGUUUUGUGAUAGGAUAAUUUGUAACGAGCAACAAAUAAUAAAAGUAAAUAAAGUGCAGCAAGGUGGCCCAAUCCUUUUUGUAGCAAAGGACAAGCCUGGACAAACUCUUAUAUAGAGAAAAGCGCUCCCAAGGACACAUGGGAAUAUCGUCAAGCUAGUUUUCAUCAUGUUCAUAUGAUUCGUGUUCAGUACUUUGAUAAUUUGGUAUGUGGGUGGACCGGUGCUUGAGUACUGUCCUUACUUGGACAAGCAUCCCACUUAUGAUUAACCUCCAUUGCAAGCAUCCGCAAAUACAACAAAAGUAUUAAGGUAAACCUAACCAUAGCAUGAAACAUAUGGAUCCAAAUCAGCCCCUUACGAAGCAAUGCAUAAACUAGGGUUUAAGCUUCUGUCACUCUAGCAACCCAUCAUCUACUUAUUACUUCCCAAUGCCUUCCUCUAGGCCCAAAUAAUGGUGAAGUGUUAUGUAGUCGACGUUCACAUAACACCACUAGAGGAGAGACAACAUACAUCUCAUCAAAAUAUCGAACGAAUACCAAAUUCACAUGACUACUAAUAGCAAGACUUCUCCCAUGUCCUCAGGAACAAACGUAACUACUCACAAAGCAUAUUCAUGUUCAUAAUCAGAGGGGUAUUAAUAUGUAUAUAGGGUCUGAACAUAUGAUCUUCCACCAAAUAAACCAACUAGCAUCAACUACAAGGAGUAAUUAACACUACUAGCAACCUACUAGUACCAAUCCCAGACUUGGAGACAAGAAUUGGAUACAUGAUACGUCUCCGUCGUAUCUACUUUUCCAAACACUUUUGCCCUUGUUUUGGACUCUAACUUGUAUGAUUUGAAUGGAACUAACCCGGACUGACGCUGUUUUCAGCAGAAUUGCCAUGGUGUUGUUUUAUGUGCAGAAAACAAAGUUCUCGGAAUGACCCGAAACUCCACGGAAUAUCUUAGAAUAAAUAAUAAAAAAUUCUCGCCAAAGAUGAAGACCAGGGGGCCCACACCCUAUCCACGAGGGUGGGGGCGCGCCCCCUACCUCGUGGGCCCCCUCGUGGCCCUCCGACGCCAACUCCAACUCCAUAUAUUGGCUUUCAAGGAGAAAAAAAUCAGAGAGAAAGUUUCAUCGCGUUUUACGAUACGAAGCCGCCGCCAAGCCCUAAUCUCUCUCGGGAGGGCUGAUCUGGAGUCCGUUCGGGGCUUCGGAGAGGGGGAUUUGUCGCCGUCGUCAUCAUCAACCAUCCUCCAUCACCAAUUUCAUGAUGCUCACCGCUGUGCGUGAGUAAUUGCAUCGUAGGCUUGCUGGAUGGUGAUGGGUUGGAUGAGAUUUAUCAUGUAAUUUUGUUAGUUUUGUUAGGGUUUGAUCCCUAGUAUCCACUAUGUUCUGAGAUUGAUGUUGCUAUGACUUUGCUAUGCUUAAUGCUUGUCAAUAGGGCCCGAGUGCCAUGAUUUCAGAUCUGAACCUAUUAUGUUUUCAUGAAUAUAUGUGAGUUCUAGAUCCUAUCUUGCAAGUCUAUAGUCACCUACUAUGUGUUAUGAUCCAGCAACCCCGAAGUGACAAUAAUCGAGACCACUCCCGGUGAUGACCAUAGUUUGAGGAGUUCAUGUAUUCACUAUGUGUUAAUGCUUUGUUCCGGUUCUCUAUUAAAAGGAGGCCUUAAUAUCCCUUAGUUUUCAUUAGGACCGCGCUGCCACGGGAGGGUAGGGCAAAAGAUGUCAUGCAAGUUCUUUUCCAUAAGCACGUAUGACUAUUUACGGAAUACAUGCCUACAUUAUAUUGAUGAACUGGAGCUAGUUCUGUGUCACCCUAUGUUAUGGCUGUUACAUGAUGAACCACAUCCGGCAUAAUUAUCCAUCAUUGAUCCGGUGCCUACGAGUUUUCCAUAUACUGGUUUACGCUUAUUUACUUUUCCGUUGCUACUGUUACAAUCACUACAAAAAUACCAAAAACAUUACUUUUGUUGUCUUUACUUUGUUACCGUUAUCACCACUAUCAUAUUACUUUGCUACUAAACACUUUGCUGAAGAUACUAAGUUUCCAGGUGUGGUUGAAUUGACAACUCAGCUGCUAAUACUUGAGAAUAUUCUUUGGCUCCCAUUGUGUCGAAUCAACAAAUUUGGGUUGAAUACUCUACCCUCGAAAACUGUUGCGAUCCCCUAUACUUGUGGGUUAUCAAGACCUUUUUCUGGCACCGUUGCCGGGGAGCAUAGCUCUAUUCUUUGAGUCACUUGGGAUCUAUAUCUGCUGGACACUAUGAAGAACUUUAAAGACGCUAAGACAAAAAUUUAUCCCUCAACUACGAGGGGAGGUAAGGAACUGCCAUCUAGCUCUGCACUUGAUUCACCUUCUGUUAUGAGUAAGCUAGCGACACCUAAACCUACUACUGCUAUGAAUUCUGAUAUGUCGCAUGUUAUUGAUGAUGCCACUUCCACUAUGCAUGAUACUUAUGAUGAAACUACUUCUAUGCUUGAUACUACUGUGCCACUUGGUGAAUUUCUAGAUGAGCAAAUUUCUAAGUCUAGAGAAAGAGAAAUUAGUGAACCUGAACACGAUGAUGUUAGUGAUGAUGAACCUAUGCCUGUUAUUCCUGAGGGUUAUCUUUUUAAUAAUGAAUCUUAUGAAGCUAUUCUUGCUUGUCCGGAUAAACCUGAACGUAAGAGGUUACUGAUUAAGUGGAGUAAGGAAUCUUUUAGAGGUAGGAUGAGACCCGACCCUGCUUUUGCUACUUCACCUAUCUGUGUUCCUGAUCAGGAUUAUUAUGAUAUUACUGUUGAUCCAGAUAUAAUUACUUUGGUUGAAUCUGAUCCUUUUUAUGGCUAUGAAUCUGAAACUGUUGUGGCACAUCUUCGUAAGUUAGAUGAAAUAGCUGCCCUGUUUACUAAUAAUCUAAGAUCGCGCCACUUUUAUGUACUCAAAAUAUUUCCGUUCUCAUUAAAGGGUGAUGCUAAGAAAUGGUUUAAUUCUCUUGAUCCUGCCUGUGUGCAAAGUCCCCAGGAUAUGAUUUAUUACUUCUCUGCUAAAUAUUUCCCUGCUCAUAAGAAACAAGCUGUUUUGAGGGAAAUAUACAAUUUUGUGCAAAUUGAAGAAGAGAGUCUCCCACAAGCUUGGGGGAGGCUUCUGAAGUUACUUAAUGCUUUGCCUGAUCAUCCUCUUAAGAAACCUGAAAUAUUUGAUAUCUUUUAUAAUGGACUAACUGAUGCUUCCAGAGAUUACCUGGAUAGUUGUGCUGGUUCUCUUUUCAGGGAAAGAACACCGGAUGACGCUGAAAUUUUAUUAAAUAAUAUGUUGGCAAAUGAAAAUAAUUGGGAACCUCCUGAGCCACCUCCCGAGCCAACUCCUAAGCCAGCUCCUGAGCCAAUUACUGAGCCUAUUCCUAAACCAACUCCGAAGAAGAGAGGUGUUCUAUUUCUCAGUCCCGAAGAUAUGCAAGAGGCAAAGAAAUCUAUGAAAGAAAAAGGUAUUAAAGCUGAAGAUGUUAAGAAUUUACCUCCUAUUGAAGAAAUACAUGGUCUUAAUUUACAGCCUGUUGAAGAAGUAUAUGAUCUCAAUUACUUAUUUACUGAAGAACCUCCCGAUAUCCCGACACAUGUAGUAAAGGUAAAUUCUCUCUAUAGAUAUGAUAAAGUUGAAGUCCCUCCUACUAAAAUUGCUAGUCAGUGUUUCGAUGAGUUUGAUGACUUUAUGUUUAAGCAAGAUGACUUUAAUGCUUAUUUUAGUAGACAAUUAAAGUAGAAUACCUUUAUGAUUAAACGCUUGAGUGAUUAUAUGGAUAAUAUUAGAGGUGAACUUAAAUUUGUUAGCAAACAUGCUUCUAUGGUUACCACUCAAGUAGAACAAGUACUUAAAGCUCAGAAAGAAAUGCUUGAUGAAAUGAAUAGUAAGAAAAAUGAUUAUGCUGUUAGAGUGGCUACUAGAACUGGUAGAAUGACUCAAGAACCUUUGUAUCCUGAAGGCCACCCUAAGAGAAUCGAGCAAGAUUCUCAAAAAAAUAAUAUUGAUGCACCUAGUUCUUCUAAAAGGAAGAAAAAGAAAAAUGAUAGAACUGUGCAAACUUCUAGUGAACCUAUUGCUGAACCACCUGAUAAUCCAAAUGAUAUCUCUAUGUCUGAUGCUGAAACACAAUCUGGUAAUGAACAUGAACCUAGUGGAAAUGUUAAUGAUGAUGUUCAUGAUGAUGCUCAACCUAGUAAUGAUAAUGAUGUAGAAGUUGAACCUGCUGUUGAUCUUGAUAACCCACAAUCAAAGAAUCAAUGUUAUGAUAAAAGAGACUUCGUUUCUAGGAAACAUGGUAAAGAAAGAGAACCAUGGGUUCAGAAACCCAUGCCUUUUCCUCCGAAACCAUCCAAGAAAAAAGGAUGAUGAGGAUUUUGAGCGCUUUGCUGAAAUGAUUAGACCUAUCUUUUUGCGUAUGCGAUUGACUGAUGUGCUCAAAACAAAUCCUUAUGCUAAGUAUAUGAAGGAUAUCAUUACUAAUAAAAUAAAUAUACCGGAGGCUGAAAUUUCCACCAUGCUUGCUAAUUACACUUUUAAGGGUGGAAUACCAAAGAAACUUGGAGAUCCAGGAGUACCUACUAUACCAUGCUCCAUUAAAAGAAAUUAUGUUAAAACUGCUUUAUGUGAUCUUGGAGCCGGUGUUAGUGUUAUGCCACUCUCUUUAUAUCGUAGACUUGACUUGAAUAAGUUGACACCUACUGAAAUAUCUUUGCAAAUGGCUGAUAAAUCAACUGCUAUACCUGUCGGUAUUUGUGAGGAUGUACCUGUUGUGGUUGCAAACGUUACUAUUUUAACGGACUUUGUUAUUCUUGAUAUUCCCCAGGAUGAUAGUAUGUCUAUUAUUCUUGGAAGACCUUUCCUUAAUACUGCAGGGGCUGUUAUUGAUUGCAACAAAGGCAAUGUCACUUUUCAUGUUAAUGGUAAUGAGCAUACGGUGCACUUUCCGAGGAAACAACCUCAAGUUUAUAGUGUCAACUCUAUUGGAAAAAUUCCAUCGAUUAUAUUUGGAGGUUUUGAAUUUCCUCUUCCUACUAUCAAAAAGAAAUAUGACAUACUUAUUAUUGGGGAUGUCCAUAUCCCCGUUGAGGUAACAUAGUGUUAUUCGAAAUUUCUCCGGUUCCAUGAUUAUCGGAAUGAGUUUGUUAACAAGACUUGAUCAACCUUGUUAGUGGAUUCUUUUUGAUGAGCAUGAGAUGGAUGAAACUAGAAGCACAACCUUCUGUACCCUCUUUAUAUUUUCUGUUCUUUAGUAGAAAUAAAGUAAAAUAAUAUUUUUCUGUCUGUUUCCUGACUUAUCCGUGCAAUAUAAAAAUAUCCGGAAAAUAAAAGUCCUCAGAAUGCCAUGCCAAUUUAAUAUGAUUUUUUGGGAAUAUUUAAGGAUUUUUAGUGCAAAAAUUACCGCGGGGGGAGCUGCCACCUGGUCACGAGGGUGGAGGGCGUGCCCUACCCCCCUGGGCGCGCCCCCUACCUCGUGGGCCCAUGCUGGCCCUCCUCCACUUAUUCCUGCACCCAUCUUCUUCCUCUGUCUCGCACAAACCCGAAAAACCAACUCAAGCUCGUGUUCCAGCAACUUUUGCUGCGAUUUUCGAUCUCCUUGCUCAAAGCACCUCUCGCAAAACUGCUUGGGGAGAUUGUUCCUUGGUAUGUGACUCCUCCAUUGGUCCAAUUAGUUUUUGUUCUAGUGCUUUAUUCAUUGCAAAUUUGUGCUACAUAGGUGACCAUGUUCUUGAGCUUGCAUGUCAAAUAUAUAUGGUUCCAAGUAGUUCUAAUGCUUGAUAUAUGCUCUAGGCACUUGUAUGAGUAGUUGCUAUUAAUCUUAUUGAAGUUGGUUCACUUUUGUUUGAAGUUACUAAAAAUUUCAGAAUUAUUUUCAGAGAAAACAAUAUGUUUAGGAGGAUGUUCCAAAUUGGUUCUUCAAGGAAGCAAGGUCCCAGACUUGCAAUGCGUGAUGGUGACGAGGAACCACCAAGAGACGCUCUCGUGAGGCCCUGUGAAUGGCCUUCGGAAAAUUUUAUGAAUCAAGUGGGAAUUAAAGAAGAAUUUUACGCAUAUGUGCGUAAUGCCGAUCUUGAGGACUUUGAAGCUGAUAAAUGCCCCCAGUAUCGUUAUCUCGCAAGUUCAUUUGUGGGGAGGUUUGAUUAUUCAUCUUCGCAUAAUUCUCCUUCAGUCAUGUUUGACCUUUAUGACAAGUCUUAUACCAUGGACUUAGAGGAUUUCACUCGUGCAUGCAAACUUCCAUCUUGGGGUAGUAUCAGGGAUCCCCUUAAAUCUGAAUAUAGAGAUUUUCUUGCUAGAAUAACUGUGGGGGAAUCUAGAGAUAUAACACAGGCCACUAUAGGGAGCAUUCACUUUCCUGCUAUACAUUAUUUUGCUCUCUUCAUUGGUAGAUGUAUAACUGCCAAGGAUGAAGCAUGUCACAUGUGUGCCCCUAAUCUCAGCAUUCUCAGAAGUGCUAUGUUAGGGGACCAAGCUUAUCAUAUGGGAGCCAUUGUAGCUCGUAGGUUGCAUCUUAAUAGACGUAACGGAGAUUUCUUUGGAGGAAUUUAUGCAACCCACUUAGCUAAUUUUCUUGAUGUAGGCAUUCGUGAGGGUGAUGUGGAGUUGCCCAGUUCUUAUUUAGAUCUUGAUCCUAUGUUUUCCCACCAGUUCAUUGAGAGGACUGGACCACCUUACCAGUAUCGACUAAUCUUUUACAGAUGACGUGUGGUCCGUGUUGCUCUUCCUGCUCCUACCUUCUUUGAUUUUCAGGCGAGAGGAAGAUAUAUUAUUACCAGAGAGGAGGCAGAUGAGUACGAGAGGGGAGUGGAAGCAGCCCGACUCCGUGCUGCUGCUCAGUAGGCGGUAGCCGCUGCAUCGCAGUACGACCCCAGCUUCACCUACGGAUAUCAGCCAGGUUAUCCCUGGCAAUAGACCAACUUAGGCCAAAAGCCUAAGCUUUGGGGAGUACAUAUUUCAUGUUCACACACACUCAUUGCUAGAUGUCGGUGCUCAUACUCUUUCAUUGUAAUAUCCAUGUUAGUUUAAAUUUAUUUUUCUAGCUUUCUUCUUGUGUGUUUGAUAAACCUUAAGAAAAAAAA
rnacentral:lncRNA from 1 species